rnacentral:lncRNA from 1 species
AGAAGUUAAAUUUGAGGUUGUGCUUCUUUACCUUUGUGACACACCCAUUACUAUUGGAUUUAGAAAUGAAGAUUCAUUCUGGAGAACUUUUGGGACUAUGCCUUGGUUAGCUCUCCCUUAUAAAGACCCUAUCCUGAAGAAGUUGAAAAUAAUUUACGAGUAUCCUGAGGAUUAUAAUUAUGGUGAUGAUGAGGAGAUCUCCAAGCUUGUAAUUGUCGGUCCUCAUGGAGAAUUUUGUGAACCAUGUGGAGCCGACAUUUUGUUGAACUACAGAGUUCCAGGAUACCCCUUCACGCGUGAAAAAGCUCUCGAGUUAGAGACCGAAAGAAUAAAGAAAUUGAAGUUAGAGAUGAUUUUGGAGACGAACAAGGUCUUGACUAGAAAUGACGGAUCCAAGGUAUGUUCUUUUGACGUCUUGAUGCAUUAUUCAAAGAGUUUGGUAGAAAUUUUAUCUUCUCUUAUUCCAGUUCCUAAAGCCACUUCCAUGGUGCCUAUUAAAGAAGAUUGAAACUGGUUAAUAAAUCAUAAUUAUUUGUUCUUUAACGGCACCUGUUACAGUUAUAUGGUGCAUUGUUGUCCAAUUUUUCAGUACAUGUCAACUUAUCAAUUCCACUUUAAUAGGUUUCGCUCUCUCAACUUGCUGGCAAGAGGAUUAUGCUCUUAUUUGGUCUAUUUGAAGAUGAGUUCCUAAACAUGUUGAAAGAAAGGUAUCUCUGUAUGAAGAGUACAGAUGGUGAAUUUGAAGUAAUCCACAUCUAUGUAUCUGACACUGAUGAUGUUGAAGGCCUGCCGGCCUGGUUUGUGUAUCAUCUGCCAAAAGGCUUCCGCUAUGCUUCUGAUAUUAUACCUGCUGACUUUGAUAAACGAUACUUUAGACAAGAAGAGAUUUACGAUGUUGGAGAUACGAGAAGACUUCUUGCUUUUGAUCGAGAUGGAAUGAUCGUCAGAGACUCGGCUUUUCCGACGAUUGAAGAUAUGAAUUUCCCCUUCUACACCAGUGGGUUGGAAAAGGAAGCCUUACUAGAAUUAGAUUCUGUGUUCCAUUGGUACGAAUGGGAAGACACUGAGAGUUGGAACCGUGAGGCAGGGUAUAUUGGACCAAACCAGUCUUGCGGAUGAUCGGUUGGAUCCAUUUCCGACUUGGGCGUCAUUAGUUUUGAGUCAUGAUGGGUUGAAGCAUGCUGAUAUUUAUCAGAAAAUAAUAAAUUGAAGUGUUCUAUUAUUUUAUGUAUUAUUAGUUAUUUGAAGGAUGGAUUGGAUGCUGAAAAAUUAUGUCAAGUAAAAGUUUCUCACUAGACAUCAUUUUAUGCAUCAAACUUUCUAUGUCAGAACUAAUAAGCUAAGGAUAGUGUCAGAUCAAUUAUAAAAUGAUGAGCAUUUGUGUAAUAUUUGCUGAAUGAAUUCUACACCCUGUGGUCAUUUAGUGAACUUAAAAUAAAUCUAUCUAUUAUACGAGAACAUGUUUUUCUGUCCUGAGCAAAUUUAUUCAGGUAAGGAAAUCCCGGCCUAUUUACCAACCUAUCCUGUCCAACUGAUGCGUGCUCCUUCUUAGACCCAGUCUUCCAACAAACUAAUCCCUCCCACCAGGGGCUCCAUUCUUCUUCUACGAUCUGGCUAGAUGAGGUCGAUUCUAGUGAUUGGUUCAGGUAAGCUCGUUAUGAUGCCGGCAUCCUGCACUCCAGUAAAUUAUUAGAAGGUGAGGAAGCUUUCAAUCUCAUGUCUUUUUGUCCUCUCCCCAUACGUCUCCCCACAGGAGCCUGAUGAAGGUUUGGGAUUUCUGAGCAAAAAGAAAUUGACAUUUUUUAUUAUGAUUUACAAACUUGAAUUGAAUUCAUAGUUUGGUAAAAUUAUUAAUGUUCUUUUUUCUUUUCACUAAUUCAAUAUAUGUGUUUCCAAGCCUGAAAUUCUCGGGGUUGCGUAUGUUCUUUGGGUAUGUACUUGCAGAAAUUCAGAUAAAGAAACCAAAGCAUGAAUAAUUAAUAGAGAUUGUUGCUAAGUUGUACAUUUUUGUUUGGCCUGUUGAGGAACAUUUGCGUUCGUCAAGUUUUCUGUGGAGGACAUAUAUUUCAAAUAGCACUUGUAGUGUGUAAGUGUUUGUUAUACUGAUUGAAAUGACUUUUAAGAUUGCAAGUAUAAUUAGGCCAACAUACAGCAAUAUUUUUUUUUAUAAUUGUGUGUCUAAUAGAUCUCCUGAAUAUUAAACCGUAUACCUUAUUCUCGUAAAAAUUUGAAGCCAAACAGCAGGCUUUUAGGUAUAAAUUUGGGCAAUGACUGUCUUGGAUAUGUGUAUUUAGAUUCUUAUACAUGUCUGAAGUUAAUAAAGUUAUUAGAAGUUAUAUAUGAGAUAUAUAUUAACUGUUAGAUUAUCAACCUUUGUUUUUACAGAUAUAUAACUUAUUCAAAGGAGGAAGAAGCAGUUUGUUGCAUUCAGUCAGUGUAUACACAUUGGAGGGUAGACCAUUAAGGUCUGAUUCUAUUGGCUUUAGUGGAGUGCAGCAGUAAUGUUAUCUGUUUGCUUAUUUACUAUUCUUGUGUUGCAGAGCCUGUUUUGGAACCACAAAAUAUUCCCAUGCAUGUCUGAGGAGUGUGGUAUGGUCCUUAAUUUAAUUAAUUGUGAGUAAUUCGACUAUGGGGGCAUACUGUAAUGGAAGGGUAUAUAUUCGCGGACUAAUAUAUUUCUGAAUUAAAUUCUGACUGUAAGGCUAUUUUUGUUAGAUGGAAAAGAACUUGAUGGUUGAAUUACCAUACCACUAAAUUCAGUUCCACUACACAUUUACAAUGGUGUAAUAAUGUUUGUAAGCAUAGAGCACACGAUAGUUUAUGGAGUAUCUUGUGGUAGGUACGAGUGCUACAUAAUUUAAUUGGAUUUGUCAGAGUCGAAUAUUCAAGCUAUACUUUGUCCACUUAUGUUGUUUAACCAAUUAUUAUUUGUCGAAGUUGGGUCUUCGGUAUAUGUAGAUUCCUCAUUUUUCUGACUUUGCUAAUUACGGAAGAACUUUACAACUUUUACUCUAUUUGUAUACCUUGCACAGUGAUUUCUUUUGAUUUUUUUAGCUUUUACAUGAAUAUGACUCAGGUGUAUGUAUGUUAGACAGUUAAGAUUGGUGAAAUCCUUGCGCAAUUUAUGGAACUUCAGACCUUGGGUGACAGGAAUUUGCAGUUUGCUUUCUUAUUUCAGUUUACGAGAGUGUAUUAUCUUUUUUUGAUUGAUUUUAGGCAAAUAAUACGGGGACGAUGUCAAGCAAAAUGAAAAAGAAAGCAAAAUUGCAGCGUGUCAUUCGUAGCAUGAAAAAACAGCAGCUCCAGUCUUCAGAAAAGACUACAAGCUUCAGGUCAUAUUCACCUCUUAACCAUUUACAUGAUGCUCAGGUAAUAAUAAUCAUCUGAGGUUUUGGUGAUCACUGAUACUCUGCAGUUUUAGGAUAGCAAGAUAACUCAUCAUACUUAUAUUUUGUUGUCAGGGAUUUGUUGAAAAGCUGUAUUCUCGUCUCCAAACUGCUGACAAAUUUGAGGUAUUCAGACUGAUGUGUAAUGUUUAGCUUUUUCUUUCUAAUUUAUUCAAGAUCCAAUCUGCACCUUUUAACACCAUUUUAUGUGUCACAGAAGUUAUUAUCUAAAUUGCUUUAUAACCUUUAUUUUUUCUAUUAUCUGUGCUUGUUUCAUUUCCACAAUCUCUAUCAGUUAUGUUGUUUAGUGUCUUCUUAGUAUACAUCUGAUAAUGUGAAACUUUAGCACAGCGAACUGUAUUGUUUGAAAUCUGUACCUUUUAUGUAUGUAUUGUAUUGAAUAAAAAUCAUCAUUACGCGAUCAUGAGCAACAGAAAGCAGCUAUUGAUAACACAAAAUAUUAAAAUUCGUUUUAGUUCUAUCUGAACCCAGAUAAUCUAUGAUGACCAAUUUUACAUGGUAAUGACUUAAAAGUUUAUGGUUUAAUUCUCAAAAGUUUAUAAUUUUAACAGUUCAGUCUUCCCAAGACAACUUUACUGCCCUGAAGCAGGUUUUGGAAAAUUAGAGAGAAGUGUUACAAAGUUGACAGAAAUAUUCCUUGUGCACUGUAAGAUAAAAGGAAAACCGGAUUCUGCAGAAACUGUUGUGUUGGUCGAUGGCUAUUUGACAAAGCGAGCCUGUUGCUGGUUUUCACGCUUAGGUAUGCAGGCCGGUGAUUAUGUAAUGUAAAGGAGAAAAUGCAAUUAACUUUACUUAUGAUUUAAAAAGACAUCCUUCUUGUCAUUUCAGUUGUUGUGGGAUAUUGUCCAUUUGGAGAACAGGAACAGGCAUUGCAAUAUUUUACUGAACUACCUCGGUUUCAUCACACGUGUGACUUUUUGAAAGGAUUAUUUGUUUUUAUAUAUAACCAGUCUUGUUUUGAUCUGAAUUUCACUGCUAAUAUAUUUUUCCCUGGUGAUUCUCAGGGUAAAUGUUGUGUUUCGUCUAGUUUCAACCGUUUCUGUUCCUAUGAACUUCACAAUAUGAACAUAAUCAAGGUGAUAAAGAGUCAUAUUGUUACAUAACAGUUUGAUGAAUAUUUUGGUUCAAGUACUUCAUGAUAUGUUUUCUUGUUUUGUAGAAUUUACCAGGCGUGGAUGCUCUCACUGCAUUUGCAUAUUUCUUUGAUGCUGAGUCCACAAGGAAGUACGUAAGUUCAAGAAGUUUGGCAGAGGAAAGACAAGUAAGUUCACAAAAAGUUUUGUAGUCCUUCAUUUCCUGGACUUGGUUGCUUGUCUCCCCUAAAACCUGCUAGCUUAAAAGAGUAUUUGGCUGCAAUUUCCUGAAAUGCUUUACUUGAGAGUCUCUAUUUUUCUUCCAUUACUUUUAAAUGGUUGAAUAUAGAACUGUAAUAUCCGAAAUUGUGUCUUCUCAAGCAAACAGAUUACUGGCAGUUGAUAGUACUAUGCCAAAACCAGAGUAGAACUCAUGAAUUAGAAAAUUUCAUCAUAGGAUCAGCUUUGCAUAAAUUGAUGAUUUGCUUUACCAUUAUUUCCUUAUGCAACACUAAUUUAAUACUUUGAAUUUGAAUGCACGGGACGCUAAUCUACUUUUGCAGUUCAAAGUGUCCAAAUGUCAUUGUUACAACUUAAAACUGUAAAGACAUAUUGAAGAUUGAAGUACAACACCAAGAAAAUAAGUACUCAAUUAAUUUCUAUUUACAUCUCGUGUAGUAUCUGAAAGAAUAUAUAGCUUGAACCAUUAUGUGAAUUUUCCCCUUAUAUAGCUGCUGUUUGGUGCAGAUAAGCAGCUUACUUCUAGGUAGUAUGCUAGAUGUGGUAGAGGAGGUACAAUUAGCUCGGUUAGAACUUCGUAAUCUCAUUCAGUGUAUCUUCUGCUCUGAGUCAGGUAACUUCUGUACUUCUCCACUUGAAAGUUUCUUUUCGCAGGUGUGCUCUAAAUUUCGUUUGUUUCUUGCUUAGUCAGCCUAUGAGAAAGGAUGCCUUUCGUUUGUUUUUUUACCCCUGUUCUUUAAAAUCUCAAUUUUUUUUGUCUUGAAUAAGGAAACCUUUUUUUUAAAAAUAACUGCAGUAGUUAGUUUUUACUGGCUGGCACUGCCAAUCAAAGUGUGAGACUCACUUAUGGCCAAAUGCUUAGUUAAAGUUACUUUGUCCUUUGCUAGACUUUAAUGCUAAAUAUGAGAAUCUUUGUAUUGAGAUGAACUGAUGGUGCCUCAUGCCUGUGUCGCUUGAUGGAGCAUAGGAGCAUGCAUCGGUUGAAAUAUUGUAGUUAUUAAUUGUCCCUCUACUGUGCUAAUAUGGGGGGAUGAAUCUCUCGUGAAUCAAAGCAUAAUAAUCCUUCAUAUUUUUUCUAAUGUUAACCGUGUUUACAUGCAAUUGUAGUUAAUUUCCAUUUUGUGUGCAGUUGAACAGCUUGAUUUGCAGCUUUAUUUCCUUAAUCUUAAAAGUGGUAAAAGAGCAAUCUUUACUUUUGACUUGUCCUGUUUAAAAGGUACAGAGCCUUACUUUCGAAUAUUGAUUGUUUCUACUUUCUGCUAUUAUGAAUUAUUAUUUACCUUAUUCCUAUCAGAUGUUCCCGGGUGGUAAUAUUGGACCCGACACGAACUCGACCCAUAAAUACGAAUUCGGGUUGGAGUUUUUCAGGUUCGGGUCGAAUUCGGGUUGACCAAACUACUAGGAUAUAUACGUAUUUGAGAAGUCAUAAAAGUUGCAGAAAAUGAAAGUCCUGCCUAACGAUGGAAAGUCUCGAAAUUAAAAUUGAAUUUUUUAUUGGAAGGAAAGAUAUGCUAGAGAAUGAAAAGAUUGGUAGUGAUGGUAAAUAUCGACUAGGAGGAAGGAACGUAUCUCCUGUUUACAUAGAAAUGAUUGAAUUUGCUAUUAUAGAUGAUAGGUAGCUUUGUAUAUAAACUCUCUUUAGUCAUUGUAAUUCUAUAUACAUAUUUGAGUGAUUGCAAGUUGAAUUAGGUUAUCGUGAAGCUUUGUAUUUUGUACAUAGAGAGUUUGAGAGAGUUUGUGUAUUGAGUUUGUAAUUGCAAGAGUUGCAGGCGCAACUACUAAGGUUUUUGUACGCAUUUGUAAAGAAAGUUUGAACUUGUUCAUAUAUAUACAUACAGUUGUUUUCAUCAUUGUGUUUAUUGAUUAUUCGUUGCUUGAAUAUUUGUUUUAUUAAUUGAUAAACGGACAUUGUUUACGGUACUUAUAUUCAACCCCACCUUGUAAAAGUACAUUGUUAGGAAUAUGUUAGGCUUGAUGAUAAGUCAAAACAGUUUAAGUAAAUGUAGCGACCAUUUUGUAAAUAUUUAAUAUACUAAGUAUGUAAACUACUCAAGUGAAGUGAAGAUUAACGACUAAAUCUAAGCUAUCAACGGAUAAGGAAUAAAAUUUCAUCAACGACUAAUAAAGAUAAGCUAUCAACUGAUAAUAAGAAGCAAUUAAUGGCCAAGUCAUGAAAGCUAUUAACAGCUAUCACAUUGGUUUAUUAUUUGCUAAAUCAAGCAUUAUCAGUUGACAGCUACAAUAGAGAAAAAAGACAACAGUCAUAUGGGAUGGGAUAUGGGAUGGGAUGAUCAAAUAAAGUUUAAUUUGUUUUGAAAGCUAAGACAAGUAAAGGCCUAGCACUAUGUUGAUCAAAUAUGUGUUGGAAGAAAGAUGAAGAAUCAUCUUUUCGAUAUACAAUUUCAGGAGCACCAUCUUUCUUUCUGAAGAAGAUGAUUAAUGAAUGGAUGAGCUGAUUAUCCUUCUGGAUCUUCUUACAAUGAGUUACCCAUGACUUUGGAAGAACUUUAACUAGCUCGUUUUUAAAAAUUUGCUUUGGCACAUGAAUACAUGAGCUUGGUUGAGCAUCAAAUUGUAGAAAUAGUGCAUUAUUUGUAUCUCAGGGAAGACUGGGGUCAAAUAAAUGGUUCUGGAAUAUUCUAUAGGUCAUUUAAUGCAGAAGACUGGUAAUAUAAGUUUCUGAAAUUUGCAGUGCUCCAAUAAUCUGAAGCUAAACUUUGAGAUUAUUUUAGAUAAAAGGGUCACCAAGCUUCAAAUUGAAGUUUCGAAAAAAGCGUUACAAAAAUUGUACCAGCUUUUAACGUGGUUUGAACAAUAGCUGCGUAUGCACCAAAAGUGUCAUCCUUGCAAUCACUAGUAGUCAUUUCCUUCAUAGAGGGUUAGACAUUCUAACAGCUCCAAAAUGAAGAUGAAAAAAGUUUUGCAUCCGUCACUGCUCUGGCAACGAAUCUCCCAACAAAAUAGGAAUAAUAUGCUCUACUUCAGUAGAAAGAAUAUGGACUUGCUCGAGAUUUGAAAUCAAGACUAGAUCUUUAGCUUCUAAGUCUUUUUGAGAAGAAAGAACAUGAUGUUUUUUAGUGAAAGCUCGAUAUGGGUUUAGCAAAGAAAGUUAGGUGAUAGGAAUCUUAUUAUCUUCAUUGUUGUAAUUUAUAGAUUCAAGAAAAUCACUUUUUUUUAUUGAGAGGAACAAAAGAGUUCUUAGAAGAAAAGAAGGAUGAAGAAGAUAGUUGGUCGGCUUGAGGGACAACUUGAUAGAUAUCAAUCUAGCAUAUCAAUAAUACGAUGAUACUUGUCUGGAUAUCUUUAUCAUAAAAGAUAAGAUUCUCUAUUUAAAAUUAUUACUUCCACGUUAUUAUAUAUUUCCAUACAUUUUUAUUUUUUAUCUUACAAAACACGACAAUAUUAUAAGUUUUAGAGUGAUUGACACUUUGCAUCCCUUGUGUUUAGGCGCUUUUACGAUUUGGUCUCAAACAAUUUUUUUUACAGUAUGCGCCCUAAAGUUUGAAAAACGUUUCGCUUUGCACCCCUUUUGACCACUAUCCGUUAGUUGACCGUUAAAGUUAACAGAUUUCAGGUUUUCACUUUGCACCUCACAAUUUUAAUUUUUUUCAUAAGUAUUUUAAAAUAUUUUAUUUUGUUAUUAUUUUCAUUCUUGGUAUCAGUACCAUGUGUUAGUUAUGGUUGUUAUUCUCGUCCCACAGGCGACACUAAUAAUGUGAAUAAAAAUCUUAAUCCAGGAUUGUCAAGUUUAGAUAGGGGUUGUUUUGACUAACCUGUGUUAUUGGACUAUAUAUUUUAAAAGAUUUUUGACAAUCAAGUCGAGACGUAAUUCUUUAUUAUGAGUUACUGAUAUAUUUAUAGAAGGUGUAAAAAUUUUCGAUUUAGACCAAGUUUAGGUUUCUUGAAUAGAAAUCCACUCCUGAUCCUUAUAUAGGACUCAAUGUUAAAGUUAUGGAUCGUUUGGUUUAUGAGUAUCUGGAAUCAAGUACGGGAGUUUGUUCAUACCAAACUAAUACCUGGUGUUUGGUUGGAUAAUAUAUAAUCUCAUACUCAUAUCUUAAACCUCCCAGGUAUGGGUUUUUGAUAUCCAAGUGGGGAGGUAGGUAUGAGAUGGGGGCAUGAGAUGCAUUCAUUUUUUAUUUUUUUGCCUCUAUUUAAAUAAUAAAAUAUUAAUGUUUUAUACAAAAUUAAAUCAAUGAUGCAAAAAUAUAUAUGUCUAAAUAAUUUUAUUAAUAUUUUUAAUUAAUAUAAAUUAAUAACUUAUUUUUUACAAAAAUAAUGUAUAUAUUAAUUUCAGCACUCAACGAAACACAUGAUAGCAGAUAUGAUACCUCAAAAGUUCAAACUCAUAUCAGCUUAACCCGAUUUCUCGUUCCGACCACGUAUCACUCGUCGAAACCAAACGACCCGUUAGUGUUAUUCCAAUUAGUCAUACUGAACUUCAUGCGAGAAAUCAAGCGAAUUUGGGUUCCUCAACCCAAUAAAGUCUUUAUUUUCAAACCGAGUUGGGCUCCCGUCAUAAAUUCUGGGCUUAUAUUUAAUUACGGUCUUUCUAAUAUGUGCCCAAGAGCACACAAUAAUCACUAAAUUUUAUAAAAAUGAUUUAUUCUGGUGGAGUUGAUGUGAAUGAGAGGGGCCAUUAUCAUUUAUUAUUCAUCCACCAAGCAGAAGAAACUAUUUUUAUUGGAGUUAGCGAAUAUUGUGUGCCCUUGGGCACACCAUAGAAAAUCCCAUUUAAUUAAACAUCAAGUAUAAUUAAAUAAUUUAUUUUAGACCAUAUCAAUUAUAAAGUAUGAAAUUAAACUUUAGGGAAAACACCAAAAGUUCAAAUUUAGGGAUAAAUAAUUUAAAAAAAGAAAAAAAAUCAUUUUGAAAUUUGAAAUGUCAAAAAAGAAUUUUAAAAAUAUGAAAAUUGGGUAUAUUUUGUUAUAAUUUAAUAUGAUGAACAUAUAUUGAAUUAUUUUAAAUUAAUUUUCUCUUUUCCUCUGAAUUUAUAAUUUUUUGUUUCUACCGGAAAAAAAAUCCCCACAUUGUUUCUUAUUUCUGAUGUUCUCAUUAUAAAAGAUUUCUCUAUAAAAAUAUAUGACAGUUAGUUACUCGGAGAGGCGUGAACGUAAUUUUCUUGUAUAAGUUUCUAUCAAUUCUUGAUUUCUGCCGGUACAUUGUCUUCGUCGGCUUUCUUUGUCCAAUCAGGUUCGAUUUAACUGUUUCUCAUUUCUUGAAGUCUACCUGUCCUGCUGUACAUUCUUGAUUCUGAUUUCUGAUGGUUCUCUUUGAUUUUGAUUUCUACUACCUCCUGCUCUGCUGUACAUUCUUGAUUCUGUACUGCUGUACAUUCUUGAUUCUGAUUUGAGAUUUCUGAUGGUUCUAUUUGAUUUAAUUGUUUCAUAAUUACAGUUUGUCACAUUUAGAAACUGAUUGUUCUCCACUCUUUUUCACAGAACAGCACAAUGAUAUAUCACGCUGCUAGACAUGUUCGUGCAAGACUUGUGAGUUGUGGAAGAAUAAUCAGCAAGGGUUAUAAUGCAAAUUCUUUCAAUGAUGUCACAGAAAAGGGUAACAUUGUAUAUCUUUACUUGAAUAAUCAGCGAAAGUUAUAAUGCAAAUUCUUUACUUGAAUACACUGUAUAUCUUUACUUUCUCUCUAUCAUGGUAUCUCUUCGAUCUUUGUAACAUCCUGGAUAAUGAAUAUUUAUUUCAUCAACUCUACUCUCUGGGCAGUUCCACUGAAUAAGCGAACAGUGUUUCGCGCAAAACCUAGAGUACGAGGUUGUAGCUGGGAUUAUCCAGGUACAAGACAACCUUUAAUAACGAUCAUUGACAUUUAAUUCCCCUGUAUAUAAACAAUAAAACCAUUGUGAGGCAUUGCUUGUUUUCUGAUACUGUCAUAUACUAUCAGGGGUACUCUUGNCUAAGUAUGUAAACUACUCAAGUGAAGUGAAGAUUAACGACUAAAUCUAAGCUAUCAACGGAUAAGGAAUAAAAUUUCAUCAACGACUAAUAAAGAUAAGCUAUCAACUGAUAAUAAGAAGCAAUUAAUGGCCAAGUCAUGAAAGCUAUUAACAGCUAUCACAUUGGUUUAUUAUUUGCUAAAUCAAGCAUUAUCAGUUGACAGCUACAAUAGAGAAAAAAGACAACAGUCAUAUGGGAUGGGAUAUGGGAUGGGAUGAUCAAAUAAAGUUUAAUUUGUUUUGAAAGCUAAGACAAGUAAAGGCCUAGCACUAUGUUGAUCAAAUAUGUGUUGGAAGAAAGAUGAAGAAUCAUCUUUUCGAUAUACAAUUUCAGGAGCACCAUCUUUCUUUCUGAAGAAGAUGAUUAAUGAAUGGAUGAGCUGAUUAUCCUUCUGGAUCUUCUUACAAUGAGUUACCCAUGACUUUGGAAGAACUUUAACUAGCUCGUUUUUAAAAAUUUGCUUUGGCACAUGAAUACAUGAGCUUGGUUGAGCAUCAACUUGUAGAAAUAGUGCAUCAUUUGUAUCUCAGGGAAGACUGGGGUCAAAUAAAUGGUUCUGGAAUAUUCUAUAGGUCAUUUAAUGCAGAAGACUGGUAAUAUAAGUUUCUGAAAUUUGCAGUGCUCCAAUAAUCUGAAGCUAAACUUUGAGAUUAUUUUAGAUAAAAGGGUCACCAAGCUUCAAAUUGAAGUUUCGAAAAAAGCGUUACAAAAAUUGUACCAGCUUUUAACGUGGUUUGAACAAUAGCUGCGUAUGCACCAAAAGUGUCAUCCUUGCAAUCACUAGUAGUCAUUUCCUUCAUAGAGGGUUAGACAUUCUAACAGCUCCAAAAUGAAGAUGAAAAAAGUUUUGCAUCCGUCACUGCUCUGGCAACGAAUCUCCCAACAAAAUAGGAAUAAUAUGCUCUACUUCAGUAGAAAGAAUAUGGACUUGCUCGAGAUUUGAAAUCAAGACUAGAUCUUUAGCUUCUAAGUCUUUUUGAGAAGAAAGAACAUGAUGUUUUUUAGUGAAAGCUCGAUAUGGGUUUAGCAAAGAAAGUUAGGUGAUAGGAAUCUUAUUAUCUUCAUUGUUGUAAUUUAUAGAUUCAAGAAAAUCACUUUUUUUUAUUGAGAGGAACAAAAGAGUUCUUAGAAGAAAAGAAGGAUGAAGAAGAUAGUUGGUCGGCUUGAGGGACAACUUGAUAGAUAUCAAUCUAGCAUAUCAAUAAUACGAUGAUACUUGUCUGGAUAUCUUUAUCAUAAAAGAUAAGAUUCUCUAUUUAAAAUUAUUACUUCCACGUUAUUAUAUAUUUCCAUACAUUUUUAUUUUUUAUCUUACAAAACACGACAAUAUUAUAAGUUUUAGAGUGAUUGACACUUUGCAUCCCUUGUGUUUAGGCGCUUUUACGAUUUGGUCUCAAACAAUUUUUUUUACAGUAUGCGCCCUAAAGUUUGAAAAACGUUUCGCUUUGCACCCCUUUUGACCACUAUCCGUUAGUUGACCGUUAAAGUUAACAGAUUUCAGGUUUUCACUUUGCACCUCACAAUUUUAAUUUUUUUCAUAAGUAUUUUAAAAUAUUUUAUUUUGUUAUUAUUUUCAUUCUUGGUAUCAGUACCAUGUGUUAGUUAUGGUUGUUAUUCUCGUCCCACAGGCGACACUAAUAAUGUGAAUAAAAAUCUUAAUCCAGGAUUGUCAAGUUUAGAUAGGGGUUGUUUUGACUAACCUGUGUUAUUGGACUAUAUAUUUUAAAAGAUUUUUGACAAUCAAGUCGAGACGUAAUUCUUUAUUAUGAGUUACUGAUAUAUUUAUAGAAGGUGUAAAAAUUUUCGAUUUAGACCAAGUUUAGGUUUCUUGAAUAGAAAUCCACUCCUGAUCCUUAUAUAGGACUCAAUGUUAAAGUUAUGGAUCGUUUGGUUUAUGAGUAUCUGGAAUCAAGUACGGGAGUUUGUUCAUACCAAACUAAUACCUGGUGUUUGGUUGGAUAAUAUAUAAUCUCAUACUCAUAUCUUAAACCUCCCAGGUAUGGGUUUUUGAUAUCCAAGUGGGGAGGUAGGUAUGAGAUGGGGGCAUGAGAUGCAUUCAUUUUUUAUUUUUUUGCCUCUAUUUAAAUAAUAAAAUAUUAAUGUUUUAUACAAAAUUAAAUCAAUGAUGCAAAAAUAUAUAUGUCUAAAUAAUUUUAUUAAUAUUUUUAAUUAAUAUAAAUUAAUAACUUAUUUUUUACAAAAAUAAUGUAUAUAUUAAUUUCAGCACUCAACGAAACACAUGAUAGCAGAUAUGAUACCUCAAAAGUUCAAACUCAUAUCAGCUUAACCCGAUUUCUCGUUCCGACCACGUAUCACUCGUCGAAACCAAACGACCCGUUAGUGUUAUUCCAAUUAGUCAUACUGAACUUCAUGCGAGAAAUCAAGCGAAUUUGGGUUCCUCAACCCAAUAAAGUCUUUAUUUUCAAACCGAGUUGGGCUCCCGUCAUAAAUUCUGGGCUUAUAUUUAAUUACGGUCUUUCUAAUAUGUGCCCAAGAGCACACAAUAAUCACUAAAUUUUAUAAAAAUGAUUUAUUCUGGUGGAGUUGAUGUGAAUGAGAGGGGCCAUUAUCAUUUAUUAUUCAUCCACCAAGCAGAAGAAACUAUUUUUAUUGGAGUUAGCGAAUAUUGUGUGCCCUUGGGCACACCAUAGAAAAUCCCAUUUAAUUAAACAUCAAGUAUAAUUAAAUAAUUUAUUUUAGACCAUAUCAAUUAUAAAGUAUGAAAUUAAACUUUAGGGAAAACACCAAAAGUUCAAAUUUAGGGAUAAAUAAUUUAAAAAAAGAAAAAAAAUCAUUUUGAAAUUUGAAAUGUCAAAAAAGAAUUUUAAAAAUAUGAAAAUUGGGUAUAUUUUGUUAUAAUUUAAUAUGAUGAACAUAUAUUGAAUUAUUUUAAAUUAAUUUUCUCUUUUCCUCUGAAUUUAUAAUUUUUUGUUUCUACCGGAAAAAAAAUCCCCACAUUGUUUCUUAUUUCUGAUGUUCUCAUUAUAAAAGAUUUCUCUAUAAAAAUAUAUGACAGUUAGUUACUCGGAGAGGCGUGAACGUAAUUUUCUUGUAUAAGUUUCUAUCAAUUCUUGAUUUCUGCCGGUACAUUGUCUUCGUCGGCUUUCUUUGUCCAAUCAGGUUCGAUUUAACUGUUUCUCAUUUCUUGAAGUCUACCUGUCCUGCUGUACAUUCUUGAUUCUGAUUUCUGAUGGUUCUCUUUGAUUUUGAUUUCUACUACCUCCUGCUCUGCUGUACAUUCUUGAUUCUGUACUGCUGUACAUUCUUGAUUCUGAUUUGAGAUUUCUGAUGGUUCUAUUUGAUUUAAUUGUUUCAUAAUUACAGUUUGUCACAUUUAGAAACUGAUUGUUCUCCACUCUUUUUCACAGAACAGCACAAUGAUAUAUCACGCUGCUAGACAUGUUCGUGCAAGACUUGUGAGUUGUGGAAGAAUAAUCAGCAAGGGUUAUAAUGCAAAUUCUUUCAAUGAUGUCACAGAAAAGGGUAACAUUGUAUAUCUUUACUUGAAUAAUCAGCGAAAGUUAUAAUGCAAAUUCUUUACUUGAAUACACUGUAUAUCUUUACUUUCUCUCUAUCAUGGUAUCUCUUCGAUCUUUGUAACAUCCUGGAUAAUGAAUAUUUAUUUCAUCAACUCUACUCUCUGGGCAGUUCCACUGAAUAAGCGAACAGUGUUUCGCGCAAAACCUAGAGUACGAGGUUGUAGCUGGGAUUAUCCAGGUACAAGACAACCUUUAAUAACGAUCAUUGACAUUUAAUUCCCCUGUAUAUAAACAAUAAAACCAUUGUGAGGCAUUGCUUGUUUUCUGAUACUGUCAUAUACUAUCAGGGGUACUCUUGGCCAGGAAUAUCACUGAUCCAAGCACUCCCAGUGUAGCAGCAAUUCUCAGAGGUUCAAAAACUGUAUGCAGACCACCGAGAAGACCAAUCCCUGAGGAAGGUAAACAUUAUACUAUAUAAAGUAUGAAGACAAUAAAACCUCCAACAUUCUUAAUUAACUAUUAUUAUUGCACUCUUAUAAACGUUUUACAAUUGUAGAUAGACGACUAAUCCUAAGAAUCCAGAUCUUACCUGGGUACUCAAAUUUCAACAUACACUGCCUGGCCACAGCAAGGUACAACGAUCUAGCCAAGUACCUAACAGAUGAACAAAAAAGGAAGGACUCUGAACAAAGGAGGAGCGAAUCUAAGCUAGAAAGCAUCUACAUCGACAAACCUCAGCAGAAUGUGACAGAAGUCGUCAAGGUAUUCACUUUUCACUUUAGGAAUGUAAAAUGUGAAACAUAGGGUUUUAAUUGAUUGCUUUUUAUAUCUAUUGUUUAGGAGAUAAAAUCUCUGCCCUUCCUGAAGAGGUUAACUAACUUGUGGAUGACGAAAAAAAAAGAAGAUGAUGAACUGUUCAUCGCCAGGGAGUACAUAAAACAUUCCAACUGGACUGAAUACGAGCAAAUGAGUGUCGCUGAAUAUUGCUACGUUGCUAUGAUCUUGGCAGAAAGAUUCAUAAACGGAAAAGACAAUCUUGCACACAUUCUGCCACUACUGAAGUAUUUUCACAAUAGAAUAUACCAAUGCAAUCUUAUGGAAUUCAGAGUAAGCUAUGUUGUGGGAUUCAAGGUUCUAGGUUACUAUUUACCUUCUGCUGCUCAUAAUCAUCAGCUUGUACCGAUUCGUAAACUGGAAGAAUUCCAUGUAGCUGUCUCCCAUCAGCGAUCUAUAAUGGAUCACCCCGACGACUACACCGAGGGGAUUUUUCUUCUACCAUAGCCAUAGCCAGUAUAGUAAAUAAAGCCUGCAGUCAUUUUCUGAUGUAAGUCCAGAUAUAACAACAUAUUGUAAACGCAGCCAGAUGGCUGGUUCAUUUUCUAAUAUAAACUGCAUAUAUAUCAGUUAGUCAGUUAAAUGCCUCAUAAAUAUCUAUACCUGAUAUCGUUUGAUCUAUACAUCAUAUAUGCAUCCAAAUUACCAUUUCGUGCGAUUGAAUUGCAUAUUUCACUGAAAAUGCUUCAGAAUUAGUUAAAUCCUACUACAGAUGAAGAGUUCAUGACUCAUUAAACAGUUAUAUCAAUGUAAUGGAAACAUCUCUACUUUCACAAACACAAUUGGAAUCUGAAUAUAGGUUAAGAUAAAGAAACAAAUAGGAAGGGAAUCAUCUGGAAACAUCAGCAAUGUGUUGAACAACUUUAUCUUUUGCUUUAUUUGUUCAUAAUCUUCUUUAUUUAACAUAAUCUUCUUAACCUUUUCUUCUUUUUCUUCCACUAAAACUAAAAAAAACUGGAAGAAUCAGGAUAUAUCUUGUUUCAACGCAGACCUUGAUGACCAAAAUAAGUUGCUAAUUAAACAGAAGCAUAAGCAUUGUACUAAAACUGUACUAUAUUCAUAAUGUGGAAAGAUUGUCAAACUAUGUUUCAAGUAAAAAUUAUAUCUCUUAAAGCAAAUGUAUCAAAUAAAAAGUAAAAACUAGAAUACUGUUUCGAGUAAGUUUAAGUGUGUCGAGACUUAUACUCACUUAUUCCCCUUGAUCUUGAACCAAGCCUCGGCACAAUGCUUAUGAGCAGCAGCCAGAUCAUCCUUGCACGAACAACCUAAUUCAAUGGCAAUGCCAUUCUCCUGGUGAGCAGCAUCCAUCUCAACACUGAGUUGACAAAUUCUACAAUCCCUCUCCGACUGCACGUUCACUUGAACAACCCGGUUGUCAUCAAUCCAACAGUAGUCUGGUUCAACUACAGAACAGGAAACUCUCCUAGAAUCCAAAACCUGACAGAUUUCAUGAUCAGAAGUAGAGUCAUCAUUUGAGCCAUCAGCAGAAUAAAACUUAGAGUAACAAGAAGCCUCCACUACAACUACAUAAAGCAGUAAUAUUUUACCUAUGACAUUUGGACUACAACUACAGCCCUCCACUUUGUGUUUAAUACACACACACACCAAACGGGAAUAAAAUAUCACAAAGGUACAUAAGAAAAAUCAUAACUGUUAUCGAAGUUAACCACCCAGAAAGCAAAUGACAGUGUCAAGUACAACAUAAAGCGAGAAAAGCUUCAAAUUUGCUAAAAUUCUAACAAAAGGGUUUGAAAAAUCAACAAAAUUAUUGAGAAAGAAGCAGAGGUUGAAAACUUCUAGUUGAAAUGGAAAAGGGCAAACAAUCAAAGAAAUUAGGUUUCCAGAGUAAGUUACAAGCAUGAAUAUGCAAUCUUUAUAUUCAAGACACAGAAAAACAAAGAUAAUUGGCAUGACAAAGCCUUCAGGCUGAAUUUGGCCAGGGCAAGUAGAAAACUUUCCGCAUAUUUAUAAUCUAUACUACAAAAAUCUCAGCUGAUGUGUAAGUUUUUUGUUGAUAAUAUAACUAACCUAAUAUCAGAUCAGCACUCAGCAUAAAAACACCCAAAAUUAUAACAAAUAUUACCAAUGACCUCUUGGUCAGAUAGUAUCACCCUUGCCCAAUUUAUCGGAAAUGGGGGGUUGGAAUCUUGUCUAAAACAAGAUGUGUGUGCUUGUAUGUAAUUACCCCCAAAAGAAUUAUUGUUGCUCUCAAAUCCAGGGUUGGACAUACAAGUCUUGCACUUCCACGAAUCUAUAUUAGUUUUUUUUUCUCUUCUUGUCUAUCAGCUGCAAAACCUUCUUUACUUCUCUUUUAUCUGCAAUACAAUAAGAUAUUUAAUCAUCAAAAACCAAGAACUCUUUGGUAACUGAAGAUGCAUAAAUAACUAGAUUCAUCUUUUACGAAGCGAGAGGCUAAGAAUCCACAACAAUGAGUCUAAGAAUUAAAGACAUUGUUUUCAUCCGAUCUCAACCUAAAUAAGAGAGUAUAUGGGUUUUGAGGAUAUACAACUGAAAAUGUAUGAUUGGUCAGAAAGAUGAAAACUCAACAUUAUUAACAAGAAAUAAAAUAGAAAGUUGUAAACUUGAAAAGGUGCAAUUAAACCUAGGAGGAUUUCUUUGGGAAUCAUUAAUCCAAGCCCUAUUAAAGUAAGUGCAGAGUCCAGAGGUUCUAAGAAAAAGUAAUGUGUUUGAACCAGAAAGAAAAGAACCCUAAGAGAAGGGUAAUCAUUUUUAUUAUACAGAACAUAAAUUGUUAAUUCAGUGUGUGUGUGUGUGUGUGAACAAAAAAAGAAGCACUUUUAAUCCAGGAGGCCACAAACCAAAAUUAAUUGCAACAAUGGAUCCAAAAGAGGGAAGGGGGAGCUUUGCCUCAAUUUGAUGAGAUCUAAACCAAAAGCUAGCAUAAUAAACAUAAAAGAAACAGACAGUUGCGAGCUCCAAAUUGAUUUAAAAAUAGAGCAAUCAAUCAAUCGACUGAAGAAAUUGGGAUGAUAAGGAAAAUAGCAACAACAUUACUUACCAAUAAUGGGAUGUUAUAAACACAUGCACAAGCACAUACACAUAUAUAUUCCAAAUUUCCAUUUAAACACUUUCACCAGGAAAAAAAAAAAUCCAAGACACUCGACAGCGAGAAGUCAUAAUGAUCCGAAAGAACCUGUUAUAGAGCUCAAUACCUAUCUCUACAGAAGUUGAAAUUUAGUAGCAGCAAUAAUAGCCAGAAAGUCCAGAUUAUUGUACAUCUCAGUAGAUACGGCAAUUCACCAAAUGUUCCAAUCCCAUAUCUAGAAAACUUGAAAUUUCAGCCAAAAAAUUGAAAACUUUAUAUUAAAUUGAGAAAAGGAAACUGAACAACCAAACUAAGUACAUAAACUGUGAUUUAGAGCACAUAAUUAAAAAAGAAAAGAGGCUGCAGACAAAAACAUUCGCAACAAAAAAUUCAGGAAUUUGCCUCUGGUAUGCAAAAUAAUGGGAUACCAUUAAUCAUAAACCAAUAUAAUGGUAAGGUACUUCAGGAUAAAAAAUUCAAAAGAUCGAUUUUUUACCUAGAGGGGCUGAUAAUUCACUACCAUGAGUCCAACAAUUAAAGACUUUGCCUUGAACACUGAAAAGGUAUUUCGAUUAAGCUGGAUCAACCCAAAUCAAGAACAUAUAAGGGAUUCAAGAAAACAAAAUUAAAAUUAUCUGAUUAGUCACACAUAAUUAACAUAAAAAACAAAUAGAAAGUUCUAAACUUGCAACUAAUCAACCAAAAUGAACACAAAGAAUAGUGAAUCAACAAUUUAUAGAUAAAGAUGCGAUUUUUACCAUAAAAGAGGCCUCCAACCAAAACUGUCUGGAACAAUGAAUCAAAACUAUAAAGGAUUUUCCCAGAAUUUGAUGAGAUCUGAUUAAAAAUCAAAACUUUAAAUUGCUGAAAGAGGAUAAUCAAACAAUUGGGAAAAAGGGGAUCUGGGAGUGUGUUAUAAGCAUAAAGAUUUGAUUUUGAUGUUAAAGAAGUGGAGAAAUCAAGGAUAUGCGUACGAGAAAGCCUUCACUUGGGGUAAAUGUAGAGACUUUCUUGUGUUGGGUGGGGAAGUGGAAGAGAGAUGAAUGGACGGACACACAGACGGCUGCAGCAACCCUAUCUUGCACCUUUCAGGCUUCAGUAUUAUCAUCGUAUUAUUGUGUCAAUAUAAUAUCAUUUUUUUCUCACCUUUUAAAUGCUAUUUUGUAUAAAAAUAAAAUUUUACAGAGGCAUUGGUAAUAACUUGUAUAUUUAAUUCUGUAAGAGGUUUUAUUUGAAAUAUUAAAAGAUACUUUUUCAAAAAUAUCUAACUUAUGAAUAAUUUUUUCCAAAAACAUUAUAUAUACAAGAAAAAACAGAUUUUUUCGCCACCUAACUUAUUGUUUUUUUAGAAAGUUACCCAUAAAUUAUAAUUUUUUUCCUUUUUGUCACUAAUGUUAGGUUUGGAUUUCUUUUGUCACUAACGUUAGGUUUUGAUUUUAUUAUUAACAUUAUAUUAUUCUUUUUAACAUUAUUAAAAUAUAGUGUUAGUCUGCAAUAUUAUGGUAAUCUGUUACACUUCUAUAUCUUUAUAUAUAAUAUUUUAAAUGUCUCCUAUGUAGUUUACCAUAGAGAAUGAGAGUGUCACACGCAUUAUAAAACUCCUAAAAGAUUUAAUUUUAUAUAUAUAUUAAUUUUUUCCUAAAUAAAAAUUUUGAUUAUCUAUUGUCUAUAUUAUAUAUUGUUUUAUAAAAAUCAAGGUUAGAUUUCAUCUGCAAUUAUUUAUACUAUUGUAAAUGAUAAACUAUUUGAAGUCAUUGAUUUCAAAAUUAGGAUUUAAUGAAUUUUUAGAGUUUUAAUUAUAAUUACUCCCGACCGCUCAUUUAUGUUAUUAUUAUUCCCUCCGUCUAUCUCAUUUAUUUAUAUUUCUUUCCACUGUUUGACACGUAUUUUAAAGUUCACACUUCUUACAAAACAUAUUUCUAUAACUUAAAGAUUUUUUUGUGUAUAAAAAUUUAAACAUUAACUUUUUAUUCAGAAAAAAAAAUUAAAAUAAUUUAUGGAACUAAAUCCUUUAGGAGCCUUAAAAUGCGUGUCAAACUCUCAUCCUCCAAGAUAAACUACCCGGGGCACAUAUAUAGUACUACAUAAAAAGAUACAAACACGUAUCAGAUCAUCAUAAUAUUGUAGACUCCCACUAUAUUUUUUAAUAAUGCUAAAAAGAAUAAUAUUGUAUUAAUAAUCAAAUCUGAAUCUAAAGUCAGUGACAAAAAAAAAAAAUCCAAACCUGACAUUAGUGACAAAAAGGAAAAAAGGUUAUAGUUUAGUGGUAAGUUUCUAAAUAUACAAUAAGUUGGUUGUCGAAAAAUUUAUUUUUUUCUAUAUACAAUUUUUUUUUUGACGUAGGAACCCGCAGCCGCUACCCUUCGGAUGCGCACUGGGUAAACCCACGAGCUCACGUAUUCUAUAUACAAUUUUAACCGUAUUUUUCAAAAUCAAUUUAAAAAGGUAGAUAUGUUUGUAAAUUCUUUUAUAAUAAAAUACAAACAUAAAACCAUUGUGAAGUAGGAGUAACAAAAAUAUAGAAUUUUAAAUGUUUUUUAAAUAACUUAAUUUCUAAUAUCAUUAUAUUCAUUUUAUAUGGGAAAUUAUGGGAUAAUAUACCCAAGUUUGUUCAAAAAUGUUGAUAGAUUUAUUUUUUUGAUAAAAAAGAAUCAAUUCAUUAAUUAAAAGCCAUACAACAUCUAUAAAUACAAUCGAAAUUGGAUAGACGCCGAAAAGUAUCGCUGUUGAAUCCUUCCCUCUUAGAGAGGCAACUAAGCGAUUUGAAGAUGAUUUGAAUAUAUACAUUUGUUUUCAUCUGAUUGGAUUUCACCUGACGGUUCAGAACAAUCGACCAUAGAUGCGAUCUCAUAAUAACCUUCAAACCUGAAUCAAAUCCAUGAAAAUCAUGUCGAUCUAUAACAUCGGUCAUGGAGAACAUUAAAACACACUAAAGACAAAACAAACUAACUCUCGCAAGAAAAAGAGACUAACAAAACUCAAAUAAAUUGAGAACUUAUUGAAUGGAAAAUAAGAUUUCAAAACAAUAAAAAAGAAAAAAAGAAUUAGGACUUUCCACCGGAGAAAACCGAUGGAAGCCCCCUCAAAAAUCUUUAAUGGACGCUAACGUGUUGGGGGGUGCUUAGGAGUAGGGUUAAAAAUGGAGCGGGUUCGGGGCGUGGACUUCAUUUCUCAGCCCCACCCCGUAUAUAUUUUUUCUGCCCUGUCCCCGUCCAAGUCCCUGCGGAUAUAUAUUUUUUCCGCCCUGUCCCCGUCCAUAUAGAUUUGAAAUUUGACUUGCAUGACUUUAUAAGAAAACUCCAGUAAGAAGUAAUACCCCUUAAAAUGAGAUUUAUUCCUAAUUAACAAAAUAAAUUUUUUAAAUGAUUUUUUCAACGAUCCAACCGUACAGAUGUUAAGAUAUAUUUAUUUUUGUCAUGUAAAAAAUAAUUUAAAAAAUUGAAAUUUACCUUGUAUGACUUUAUAAGAAAAAUAUUGUAAGAAGUACUACUCCUUGAAUUAAGAUUCAUUCCUUAUUAACAAAAUAAAUUAUUAAAAUGAUUUUUACAAAGAUCCAACCAUAUGGGUGUUAAGAUAUAUUAAUUUUAGUCAUGUGAAAAAAUAAUUAAAAGAUUUGAAAUUUUACUUGCAUGACUUUAUAAGAAAAAUUCAGUAAGAACUCUUACUUCUUAAAAUGAGAUUGAUUACUGAUUAACAAAAUAAAUUAUUAAAAUGAUUUUUUCAACGAUCCAACCGUACAGAUAUUAAGAUAUAUUGAUUUUAGUCAUAUAAAAAAAUAAUUAAAAGAUUUGAAAUUUAACUUGCAUGACUUUUAUAAGAAAAAUCUAGUAAGAAACGUACUACUCCUUAAAAUCUUUAGAUUCUGCAAAGGAGUACAUUUUUGUUUGGUCUAUUGAGGAACAUUUGCGUUUCGUCAAGUUUUCUGUGGAGGACAUAUAUUGGAAUUAGUGUUAAGUUUUUAUCUUUCUAUCUAUAUUUGUGACUCUAUUAUUAUAAUAGAAAAAAUAAUGAAAGGCCGUGCCUUUGGAGUAGCCAUCUGCAAUAGAGUCGGUUCCACCCCAUUUCUAUUAUAAUUGCUUCAUGAAAGCAUUAGCUAACCCCACUAUACAAAUUGCUCCCAAACACUGUGCCACCAUGUAGCCCAAAGCUCGCAUCAGUGUUAUUUUUCUUGCCAAAAAUCACUGCUGGAUUAAUAUGACACCCUACAAAAUUAGUUGCAGGAUUUUUGCAUUUGCAGGACCGACUGCUUGAUGAAAUUAGAGCAGGUCAGGAUGGGAGGUGGUUGUGAAUUUGUUUGUCUGAUUCUGGAGCCAUUGCAUUUAUUUAGGGAUUUAGGGAUUUAGAGGUAGAUAUGGUGUAAAGAGAUAACGGUGAUUUAAGUUAAUUUAAGUCAAUAUAACUAUUGAAAGAAAAAUGCUAGGGACCCCAAAUAUUUAUCCCAAAUUUUUUUCCCAAAUGAUGUGGUGAAAUUUCAUUGAUUGCAUUCAUUCCCAUAAUAAUGAGGCCCCCCCUGCAGAUUCAUCAACCACCCAAUCAAAUUUCGGCACUUAUUAUCCACGUCAUUUGGCAACAAAUUUUGGGGAAAAAAUUUGGAGUCUCUAGCAUUGCCCCUAUUGAAAUGGAGAAUUGACGGCAAUGUCCUUAUAAAUAUUAACUGUGUUAGUAAAAAUUGACGGAGAGACACAUUUUGUAAAAAAAUCAAAUUUCAGUAUUGCAAAUGAUAUGUAUUAAAAAUUGAUAUUAUAAGUGGUGUCACGCACAAAGUGCGAGUACACAUAAUGUACUUUACUCGUAAUUUUUUUUAUAAUUAUGUGUCUAAUAGAUCUCUUGAAUAUAAAAUCGUCGUAAAAAUUUGAAGCCAAACAGCAGGCUUUUAGGUAUAAAUUUGGACAAUAACUCUCUUGGAUAUGUGUAUUUAGAUUCUUAUACAUGUCAGAAGUUAAUAAAAUUAUUAGAAGUAAAUAUUUAAUUAUUUAUUAUACUCCAUUUAUCUCGGAACGAUAAUUUUGUUUUAAUUUGAUUUAUUAAAAUUUACUAAAUUUUGAGCAAUAAUUACUCAUAUUAUAUAAUUAAAAAAGUUAUAAAUUAUAUAGUUAGAAAAUAUAUUUAAUCUUUUUUAAAAUAGAUUUUCAAUUUUUAAAAAUUAUAAAUUUAUUUUUUAUUAUAAUACAAAAUUGGAUAAUUUAAUUAUUGAAAACAAUGAAAAUUAAAAAGGGUAGUACCACAUGAAAGGAUAAUACAAAAUGAAAAUUUAAUUAGGGGUUUUAAUACACAGUAAACAUGAGGAUGCUCAAGAGAGUUGGAAGAUUAGUGAUGCGAGAGCGAGAGCAUAUAAAUUAUAUACUACACAGGUGUAUAUCAUCACCAGCAAUAUAUGAUGUCGCCAACAGAUCUAUCCCUCUGCUGCAGGACACCCAACUUGACGGUUUUACAGGUUACCAAAUUUCUGUUAACUCUUCAAUUAUAUUGUAUGUAUAUGCAUCGUAUUCGGUUAUCAGGGCUUUUCCUUCCAACUGCAUAAUAUGAUCCACUUUGAUUCUUGAAAUUUGAUUCCUUCCAACUCUAGUAUUUUGGGCAUUACUUGUGAAAAUUGUGGUAUAUGGGGCCUUUUCCUUUAUUUCCCGGCGUUAAUCUAAUCUAGUAUAAUAUUGCGUGAAUGCUUAAUUAAUAACACGAAUGUAUUAUUUGUUGUACUUGAACUAGGCACAACAAAUUUGGUUCUUUAGAGCAAGUCCAAGAAGAAUCCUUAUCCACAAGCUCUAUUAUUAAAAUACUAAUAUAUUAGAAUUGCAAGAGCAAAUGAAGUGUGGAAAGAGAGGGUAUUAUAUUCAAUUUUUAAAACUAAAAUGAGGCUUGUGUAAUUAAGGCAGAUGAAAGAUGUCCUAGCAAUUUAAGGCAUUUUUAGGACACCGGUGGAGCUUUUAUUUUUGUCAAUAACCCUGAAUUUUGAUUUAGGACACCAAAUAAGACAUUUGUUGGACUUGCUCUUAUGUUACAGUAAUCUAUAUGACAACUACUUCACUAUUAUACAAUAGCUUUAUGACCAUGUUUGUUUGAAAUGAUUAUAAUCCUAGGAUAACUACAUUGUUUUCUUUAAAUUUAAAGGAUUAUCAUCUCAUGGGAUUUUAUUGCCAUCACUUUUUUUAUUCAAUCCCAAUCCCAUGGAAAUGAACUAAAACAAUUGAUUAGGAUAUGAAUUCAUGAGAUUAUUAUUCUUGACAAUUGAGAUAAACAAGGUAAUAAUUGGGGGAUUAUAAUCCCUUCAAACAAACAUGACCUAUCUAUGUCGAGUACAAUGAAUAGCUUUUAACCUAAUUAAUGAUUAACAUACGACGUAUUUGUUUUACUGAAGUUAUAUAGAAUAAAUUGUUUACUUAUAUAUAUAAUGGGAUUGCUAGACCUGAGGUAUGAGGGCAUUGGCGGAGCCAGGAUCAAAUGUAUAGAGGGACACCAUAACCCUAAUCACAUAGUUCAGCUGGGGGCACCUGUUAAUAAUACAUGUGAGACCCACAAAAAUAUAGUUGUUUUUUUGAAAGUUGGAGGGGCACGAGCCCCCUGGUGCCCUAAUGUGGCACCGCCACUGUAUGAGGGUGACAAGGUUAAACAAAUGCUAGUAUAAACUAGGGGGUAAUUGUCAAGGUAUCGCCGUGGUGAAAAAUGUAGAAUUAUAGAUGUAUUAAUAUAUGUGGGGUAGCACUUUAUAGCAUACUCUCUUAUAGAGAGUUUCGUGGUAUACCACUAUAAGUAUAUUCAUACUACAUAUAUUUAUUAUAUUUUUCAUUGAAUAUAAAUACAAAUUUUAAUCAUUGAAUUUAAAAAAAUACAAUUUUUUAUUCCAAAAAUCAUUGAAAAUAGUGCAAAAUUCCAACAUGAUUUUACAACAGAAUAAUAGUUAUCCAGAAUUAUUCUGCUAUAGAACUGGUUUCGGAAAUCAACUUUUUUUUUUCAAACUUUAGGUGUUAAAUUAUUUAUAAUAUAUAUAUGCUUGAAUAUUCUAUAUUAGAAUCACAUUUUAACCGUAAAAUUUAUAAUAAUAUUAAUGGUUUAUAAUGGUGCACUACGGAAUUACAUAUAAGAAGGACCUUCAUGGAAUGUUGGCCAAUAUAUGUGUAUUAAUUUGCAGAAGUAUUGUUUUCUUUCUCUUGUAUAAAACUAACUUAUAUCCCGUGGGAUGCACGAGUGACUUGUAAUAUGAUUUUUUUAAUUGUGCAUGUUCUAAUAUUAAUUUGUUUGUGAAAAUACAUUUAUUUUACAUGCUAAAUAAGUUUUUAAUAAUUAAGCCCGUGAAAAAAAAUUACAAAUAAAAAGACCCAAGAAAUAUAUUUUACCGAGAUGGAAAUAUGUCUUAGCUGUGAAGCAGGCAUACGGCAAACUACUGAAGAAUCGCAGGGGGUGCGCGCACCGUGCGGGAGCGCAGCGGUGCGACAGGGGGUGCGCCAGGUGGCAUGGCGACGAAUAUCCUUGGCCGAUACGCGGCGGUGCAGGAAAUGCGGUGCGGGAGGGGCAACAUCGGUAAUUUCACAGCAUAUUAAACAACCGUAAUUGAAGCCCCCAAUCUAGUCUCCUUCUUUCCGGCGAGCGGUGGAUGUUUCUUCUUCGCAUAAGGCUCGAUCUGCUCCAACUGCAAUGCCUCUAUAUAUCUGUGUGUAUUGUAUAUCUCUGUUGGUGCAGUGGUUGUUUGUUGUAUUGGGCUUGGGCCUAGCUAUCUACGUGGAUUAUGAACAAAUAACUGCUAAUCUAAUCUGGUUGUUGUCUCCUUUUAAUUUCUUUAUUUUUUAUUUGCUGACUUUUUAAUAAUUUUGUUAAUUUAGUUUUACUAAUUAUUAUAUACAUAAAUUAUAUUUUUUUAAUAUUAUAUAUAUAUAAAAUAUAUUUUUAAUAUUUUAUUUUUGCCGUAUACCGCCGCACCCGUAUCCUCAUUUUUUGAAAUUUACCGAAUUCGCGUAUCCCCGCACCGCGCAUCCCCGCACCCGCACCCAUGCUUCCCAGUGUCUUAGUAAAAUUCAAAAAGGACCCGUCAAAACAUGUUAUAAAAUUAAAAGACCAAUAAACUGACCCAAAUACAGACCAACCAAAACUUAUGCUGUCGUCUUAAAUAGUAUAUAGAUUCUAAUUAAAAGACUCCGAAAUGGUUCACUGAAAAGUUAAAAAUAAAUUAAAAUAUAUUACCGGAUGAUUACAUUUUAUUUCUUGUAAUAUCCUUUUACGUAUGUUGAAACUCAUCAAAUAUUGGAACUUGAUUUGACAGAGGACCAUAGAAGUAAAUGCUACGAAUUGGAGAGGAAAACAAAAGAAGAAUCUGAUUUUGAUAUAGCGGUAAGGAAUUUUACCAAUCUCUCAAUAGAGAUGAAGAAACAGAAGAUUAAUCAGAAGGAGCUUACAAGUGUCAGUAGUGGAGAUAUUGUUAAUCUACACGAGCUUUUGUUUACCAAAAACAGGGACUAUCUAAUCAAAUUCAAUGGGGACCAGGUACGUGUGCAUGAUUUUAUAUUCAUACAUACAUAUAUAUAUACAUACAUAUAUAUACAUAUAUAUAUAUAUAUAUAGGCAAUUGAUCAAAUACAAACCAACUCUUAAAUACAAACUAAAAACCAGAUUUCUUACCACUAUUUAUAACUACGAGUAUCACUAAUUUAUAUUGCACUAAUCACUGUUUUUGUACAAUAUAUAAACAACGAUUUUUAUCAUCAAAAUUGAGAAAAUCUACUUACAUAAACUAUUGGUAAUCGAUUAUAUAUGAUCAAUUUGAGUCGUAGGAAGGUUCUUAGUGGUAAGAAGCCGUAGAGAAGUUGUAUGAUGGUGUUAAGUAGUUGUUAGUUUUGGUAAGUUAUGAUGGAAAGUGUAUGUGACUAUUGGUGAUGGUAGACAAUGGUGGCAUGUCAUGAAAACGUCUGGUAAUGGUGGUGGUAAGAGGUCCAUUAUAACGGUUCAGGUGAAGAUGAUGGUCAUAUACGUUGCAUAUAUGUGAUGUGUGUGUGUGUAUUUAUAUUCGCGAGAUAUGCUAUAUAUAAAUUAGUGAUAUGUUAUGUACAAAUUAGUGAUUUCUGUAGUAAAAAAUAGUGAUAAAAAACUGACCAGAACUGGUUUUUAGUUUUUAGGCUAAUUUGGUUUGUAUUGGAGUAGGACUCUAUAUAUAUAUAUAUAUAUAAAUCUAGAAGGCCAAGCCAUGUAUAUAUAUAUAUAUAUAUAUAUAUAUAUAUAUAUAUAUAUAUAUAUGGAAGGCCAAGCCAUAAGAAUAUAUGUUGGUACUUCUACAUUGUCUUAUAUUAAUGUUAAUGCCAUGGUUUGGGGGAAUUUCGGAGCAGGGAGACUUUAAUUUUUGUUUCUGCCCCGGUCCCCAAAAUUUUCUUAUAAAAAUUUCUUGUUCCCAAAGCCGAACAAGCUCUGUCCUGAAUGGAGUGGGGAUCGGAUAUGGGUUAUGCAAAUCAUAAAACAUUAAUGAUGGUAUUUAAGAAAUUACGACACGCUAGAAUAAAGUAGACCGCAUAACAGCUAUUGAGGGUCACUUAUUGGCUAUAGGGCUGUAAAUCGAUACGGACUAUCCGGUGUCUCCGCUCAUAUCCGGCUCGAAAAUAUGAUACAUGUCUCAUAUCCGUUUUGAAAACGAUCCGAAUCUGGCGAAAAAAUUAAGUCCGUAUAAUAUAUGAUCCCGAAUACGAGCACACCUAUACCCGCUCAGAUUCGGUCUCAUAUAAUUUUUCAUAAUAUGAUCCUACCCGAAUAACCGAAUAUGAUCCACGGUUCAUAUUCGAUUCAAACUCAUAUAAAUAUUAUAUUUUAACACCAUCAUAUUUGCAAAUAAAUAGUCAUCAUUUUAUAUAAUUUUAAUAUCUUAUUUAAGUUUAUAUCUUCAUAAAAUAUGAUUUAUUUAAUGUGAUCAUGCUUAUAUCUUCGUAUAUAUUUAAUAAAUGAUAUAUAUACAAACAUAUAACUAUAAGUUUUAAUUUAAAAUUAUUAUACUUUAUAAUAUUAUGUUUACUUAGACUAAAUGAUAAUUAUUUGAACAACUGAAAUAAUAAUGAUAUUUAGUGUUACUGGAUCAUAUCCGGCUCAUAUUCGAUGGAUCAUAAACUACCCCGUUAAAAAAUAGAAAAUACGAUACUGGAUCAUAUCCGGUUCUGAUCCGAAUCUCAAAUACCGGGAUCGGUUUAUAUCCGAAUAUAACGAUCCCGGACCCAAAUCUGGACAAGAUAAAAAUAAUAUGCCGGGAUCACCCGGAUCAUUUUACAGCCCUAAUUGGCUAAAGAGAUGACCAGAACUAGACACAAAAUGAAACAAAUGUCAUUGAUAGCCCAAGUUAAACGAGAAUCAAUAAAUGAUCAUCUAGAACACAAACUGUGAGCUCAGCCGGCGCCAAAAACUCUCACUGCCUGCAUUAAAUUGAGCAGUCCUCUAAUCAAGGUUAAGUAGUUCAUUAACGACUUAAGAUGACAAAGUUGUUCAUCUUAAUGGAGGUAAACAUCUUUUUUCUAGGAAAAAAGAUGUUUGAUAUCUCCAUUAAGAUGACAAAGUUGUUCUUUUGGACUCGGAUGUGAUAUUCUGCAUUGCUAGUUUUGGCUUUAAAGAUUCUGUCAUCUUUUCUGGUUAUCAUCGUGGAGUAGUAGUAGUAGUAGUACCAUCAUGCUUAGAAUCUGCGGUUUUAGUGGCAAAGAGUAACUUAGUUUUAGUGAUGAAUCAGGGAAUCGAAGCAAGUGAUCAUGUAUCCAAAUAAAGAGAGGCAAGAAUUUGGUAGCUGUAUUUAGCUUUGGCUUGCCUUUAAAGCUCCACUUACUUUGAUAAAGAUAUGCCAUUGUUCCUGAAUAUUUUUCUUCAUCUUCUUCUUUAAGCUAGGGUAAUGUGUUCCCCUGGUAUUACUGUAGAUGGUUAUUUAUCCAAACAUCAAAAGUUAUUCGCCUAGUAAUGCAUUGGUAUCCUGUUCUUUCUUUGAUAUUUCAUCUGAAAUCACAAACAGUAGAUUACAAGAUUGUGGACCCAUAGAUAAAGAGGCUGAUGAUAAAAACAUGACUGUGAAGCUUUGCAUGAUUAAUAUAUUUACAAAUUAUCAUUCUUUUUAUGGGUAGAAUUAGGUCUACUGGAAAACAUCGGAAAGUGACUCCAGACUAGAAAAUACAAGUGAAAAUGUUUGGUAUGAUAGUAUUCACACUGUGUGCUCGAGGGAGAGACUCUUUCCAACAUAAUCUGGGAAUAAUUGGGGUGCAGAAGUGAUGAUUGUGGAGAAGAAAGGAUGAAACAUGGGCGGCUGUAACCCAUCUCUCCAAAAGAGAAUGGUUUGGGAUGUAACAAAAUGCAGGAGGGGCAGCUUGUAGUGAGUGUAAAAAAAAAAGCCUAAAUUGAAUUCAUUGGCAGAGGCUGGCAUGAUGUGUAAUGAUGAAACAGGUUUGUACAGAGUUAAGUAGCACAAGAAUACAAGUUGUGGACUUACCAGGAGACCUAAGUCUAUAAGAUAAUGAUAUACUUGACGAGGUAGAGGAAAAUGAGAGAAUUGCAUGGUGACAUGCAACAACUUAAUGGAGGUAAACAUCUUUUUUCUAAACAACUUGUAGAGAAAGCUAGGGUUUUGGAGAGAGAAAGCUAGGGUUUUAGAGAGAGAAUGCAGUUAUAGACAAACAAGAGAGAGAAGCAGUUGGUGGAAUUAGAUUCCAUUUUCUGUAUUUAAAUUCAACAUCCUCGAAAAAUACAACUCAUACUUCUAUCUAUAGAUUUGAUAUCCUUAAGUAAUGUGAAAGUGCUAAACAGCCCUUCCCUUGUACUAUACUAACACUAACAGUCUUCUAAGGAGAGUGCUAAUGUAAAGCAGUUGUUGGUGCAAUCCUAACAGACUACUACUACUCUCGCAUUGAAGUGAAGAAAGCUUAACGAAAAAUGAAAUCGAUGCCGAGCAUAGUUAAAAUGAACACCUGGUUUAUUUCUCAUCGAUCAUGUACCAGAGUUUUCCCAAGUUCAAUUUUGACCAAUUUAGUUAUUUGAGAGGUUUUGUGAUAUUUCUUAACUGCUUAGUGUGAGGGGCAAAUCAAUUCUUGUGCAAGGAGAGGGAUGCGGUCAUUCUGUGGACUUGUAUUCAAAUAUCAAAUUGUUAGUUAGUUUUAUGCAAUAAGCACUGUACCAAAUAGGACCAAUUAUAAGCUACUUGCACAAACAAGCCGAAAUCUAAUAUCUCGUCUUUUAUUUUGCAUGGCGAUAAUAUGAAAUCUAGAACAGUUUGGAUGACAACUCAAGCGCCAUUGUGAAAUAUCCACAAAGCCUAUUGAUAAAUUAUAUUUUUUUUAUAUAUAUAUAUAUCCUACAUCACUUUAGCUCCAAAAUAUACUUCUUUAAAAUGCAUGACUUGUGUUGUGUCUGACUGGCUUUUGAAAUUGUACCUGGAAGCUAGAAUGAGGUUCACCUAUGUAACAGCUAUAAACAUGUGUUUUCAGCUUAUCAACUUAUAACAAGUAUAUACUCUGUAGGUGAAGGCUGAGCAGUUUGCUGACAAGGUUAUCGUUAUAUAUUUUGUGUUACUGCCACUUGUUGAUAAUAAUUCUGCUGAGCGGGUGGGGCUGAUCACAGAAAGAUUAAAGGAUGUAUACAACUUUCUACCACCUAACAAAGGUUUCGAGAUCGUUUUUGUGGCUGUUGAUGAUGAUGACACUAGCUUUGAAGAAGAAAUGUUAUUUGAUCCUUUACCUAAAACAGACCUUGAGAAUGAUUUUGAAGAGGUAUUUUCUUGCAUGCCCUGGACUGCCAUUCCAUUGUCUGAUAGAACAUCCAGGGAACUUCUGCAGAAAAGAUUUGGUUUUAGGGAUAACAACGGUAGCCUGUUUGUAAUUGAUUCAAAAGGGGUCGUUUUGCAAACAAUUGUCAUUUAUGAUUUUAUUCGAUAUGGAAGUCUAGGAUAUCCUUUCAGCAGUGAGAGGCUCGAAUCCCUGGAAUCUGAAUGCAAAGCAAUCGCUGCAGAACCCACAGUAGAAAAACUUCUGUCUUCCCCUGAACGAGACUAUGUCAUUGCGAAUAACGGGGACAAGGUAUACCAUGCACACUUUAUAACAUUUGGUGAUAAGGGCAUAUCCACGAGUACCUUGUUGUAGUCAAUUAAUUUCUUUUUCAUUUGUACAUCCAGUUGAGUUUGGAUAAUAAUAUUUUCCUUUACACUUCCUACUGUUACAUGUAUUGUUAGGUGCCUAUUCAUACACUUGAAGAUAAGGUGGUAGCUCUAUACUUCCACGCAGGCAACGUAACUGAAACUGAUAUGCUUACAGAAGAACUUAGGAAUGUAUAUGAAAAGUUGGCUGAAAAAGAAGUUAAAUUUGAGGUUGUGCUUCUUUACCUUUGUGACACACCCAUUACUAUUGGAUUUAGAAAUGAAGAUUCAUUCUGGAGAACUUUUGGGACUAUGCCUUGGUUAGCUCUCCCUUAUAAAGACCCUAUCCUGAAGAAGUUGAAAAUAAUUUACGAGUAUCCUGAGGAUUAUAAUUAUGGUGAUGAUGAGGAGAUCUCCAAGCUUGUAAUUGUCGGUCCUCAUGGAGAAUUUUGUGAACCAUGUGGAGCCGACAUUUUGUUGAACUACAGAGUUCCAGGAUACCCCUUCACGCGUGAAAAAGCUCUCGAGUUAGAGACCGAAAGAAUAAAGAAAUUGAAGUUAGAGAUGAUUUUGGAGACGAACAAGGUCUUGACCAGAAAUGACGGAUCCAAGGUAUGUUCUUUUGACGUCUUGAUGCAUUAUUCAAAGAGUUUGGUAUAAAUUUUAUCUUCUCUUAUUCCAGUUCCUAAAGCCACUUCCAUGGCGCCUAUUAAAGAACAUUGAAACUGGUUAAUAAAUCAUAAUUAUUUCUUCUUUAACGGCACCUGUUACAGUUAUAAUGGUGCAUUGUUGCCCAAUUUUUCAGUACAUGUCAACUUAUCAAUUCCACUUUAAUAGGUUUCGCUCUCUCAACUUGCUGGCUAGAGGAUUAUGCUUUUAUUUGGUCUAUUUGAAGAUGAGUUCCUAAACAUGUUAAAAGAAAGGUAUCUCUCUAUGAAGAGUACAGAUGGUGAAUUUGAAGUAAUCCACAUCUAUGUAUCUGACACUGAUGAUGUUGUAGACCCGCCGGCCUGGUUUGUGUAUCAUCUGCCAAAAGGCUUCCGCUAUGCUUCUGAUAUUAUACCUGCUGACUUUGAUAAACGAUACUUUAGACAAGAAGAGAUUUACGAUGUUGGAGAUACGAGAAGACUUCUUGCUUUUGAUCGAGAUGGAAUGAUCGUCAGAGACUCGGCUUUUCCGACGAUUGAAGAUAUGAAUUUCCCCUUCUACACCAGGGGGUUGGAAAAGGAAGCCUUACUAGAAUUAGAUUCUGUGUUCCAUUGGUAUGAAUGGGAAGACGCUGAGAGUUGGAACCGUGAGGCAGGGUAUAUUGGACCAAACCAGUCUUGCGGACGAUCGGUUGGAUCCAUUUCCGCCUUGGGCGUCAUUAGUUUUGAGUCAUGAUGGGUUGAAGCAUGCUGAUAGUUAUUAGAAUAUAAUAAAUUGAAGUGUUCUAUUAUUUUAUGUAUUAUUAGUUAUUUGAAGGAUGGAUUGGAUGCUGAAAAAGUAAAAGUUUCUCACUAGACAUCAUUUUAUGCAUCAAACUUUCAAUGUCAAGUAAAAGUUUCUCACUUUGCAUCAUUUUAUGCAUCAAACUUUCAAUGUCAGAACUAAUAAGCUAAGGAUAGUGUCAGAUCAAUUAUAAAAUGAUGAGCAUUUGUGUAAUAUUUGCUGUAUGAAUUCUACACCCUGUGGUCAUUUACUGAACUUAAAAUAAAUCUAUCUAUUAUAUGAGAACAUGUUUUUCUGUACUGAGCAAAUUUAUUCAGGUAAGGAAAUCCCGGCCUAUUUACCAACCUAUCCUGUCCAACUGAUGCAUGCUCCUUCUUAGACCCAGUCUUCCAACGAACUGAUCCCUCCCACCAGGGGCUCCAUUCUUCUUCUACGAUCUGGCUAGAUGAGGUCGAUUCUAGUGAUUGGUUCAGGUAAGCUCGUUAUGAUGCUGGCAUCCUGCACUCCAGUAAAUUAUUAGAAGGUGAGGAAGCUUUCAAUCUCAUGUCUGUUUGUCCUCUCCCCACAGGAGCCUGAUGAAGGUUUGGGAUUUCUGAGCAAAAAGAAAUUGACAUUUUUUAUUAUGAUUUACAAACUUGAAUUGAAUUCAUAGUUUGGUAAAAUUAUUAAUGUUAUUUUUUCUUUUCACUAAUUCAAUAUAUAUGUUUCCAAGCCUGAAACUCGGGGUUGCGUAUGUUCUUUGGGUAUGUACUUACAGAAAUUCAGAUAAAGAAACCAAAGCAUGAAUAAUUAAUAGAGAUUGUUGCUAAGUUGUACAUUUUUGUUUGGUCUGUUGAGGAACAUUUGCGUUUGUCAAGUUUUCUGUGGAGGACAUAUAUUUCAAAUAGCACUUGUAGUGUGUAAGUGUUUGUUAUACUGAUUGAAAUGACUUUUAAGAUUGCAAGUAUAAUUAGGCCAACAUACAGCAAUAUUUUUUUUUUAUAAUUGUGUGUCUAAUAGAUCUCCUGAAUAUUAAACCGUAUACCUUAUUCUCGUAAAAAUUUGAAGCCAAACAGCAGGCUUUUAGGUAUAAAUUUGGGCAAUGACUUGGAUAUGUGUAUUUAGAUUCUUAUACAUGUCUGAAGUUAAUAAAGUUAUUAGAAGUUAUAUAUGAGAUAUAUAUUAACUGUUAGAUUAUCAACCUUUGUUUUUACAGAUAUAUAACUUAUUCAAAGGAGGAAGAAGCAGUUCGUUGCAUUCAGUCAGUGUAUGGUUACACAUUGGAGGGUAGACCAUUAAGGUCUGAUUCUAUUGGCUUUAGUGGAGUGCAGCAGUAAUGGUAUCUGUUUGCUUAUUUACUAUUCUUGUGUUGCAGAGCCUGUUUUGGAACCACAAAAUAUUCCCAUGCAUGUCUGAGGAGUGUGGUAUGGUCCUUAAUUUAAUUAAUUGUGAGUAAUUCGACUAUGGGGGCAUAAUGUAAUGGAAGGGUAUAUAUUCGCGGACUAAUAUAUUUCUGAAUUAAAUUCUGACUGUAAUGCUAUUUUGUUAGAUGGAAAAGAACUUGAUGGUUCAAUUACCACACCACUAAAUUCAAUUCCACUACACGUUUACAAUGGUGUAAUAAAUGUUUGUAAGCAUAGAGCACACGAUAGUUUAUGGAGUAUCUUGUGGUAGGUACGAGUGCUACAUAAUUUAAUUGGAUUUGUCAGAGUCGAAUAUUCAAGCUAUACUUUGUCCACUUAUGUUGUUUAACCAAUUAUUAUUUGUCGAAGUUGGGUCUUCGGUAUAUGUAGAUUCCUCAUUUUUCUGACUUUGCUAAUUACGGAAGAACUUUACAACUUUUACUCUAUUUGUAUACCUUGCACAGUGAUUUCUUUUAAUUUUUUUAGCUUUUACAUGAAUAUGCCUCAGGUGUAUGUAUGUUAGACAGUUAAGAUUGGUGAAAUCCUUGCGCUAUUUAUGGAACUUCAGACCUUGGGUGACAGGAAUUUGCAGUUUGCUUUCUUAUUUCAGUUUACGAGAGUGUAUUAUCUUUUUUUUGAUUGAUUUUAGGCAAAUAAUACGGGGACGAUGUCAAGCAAAAUGAAAAAGAAAGCAAAAUUGCAGCGUGUCAUUCGUAGCAUGAAAAAACAGCAGCUCCAGUCUUCAGAAAAGACUACAAGCUCCAGGUCAUAUUCACCUCUUAACCAUUUAAAUGAUGCUCAGGUAAUAAUAAUCAUCUGAGGUUUUGGUGAUCACUGAUACUCUGCAGUUUUAGGAGAGCAAGAUAACUCAUCAUACUUAUAUUUUGUUGUCAGGGAUUUGUUGAAAAGCUGUAUUCUCGUCUCCAAACUGCAGACAAAUUUGAGGUAUUCAGACUGAUGUGUAAUGUUUAGCUUUUUCUUUCUAAUUUAUUCAAGAUCCAAUCUGCACCCUUUUAACACCAUUUUAUGUGUCACAGAAGUUAUUAUCUAAAUUGCUUUAUAACCUUUAUUUUUUCUAUUAUCUGUGCUUGUUUCAUUUCCACAAUCUCUAUCAGUUAUGCUGUUUAGUGUCUUCUUAGUAUACAUCUGAUAAUGUGAAACUUUAGCACAGCGAACUGUAUUGUUUGAAAUCUGUACCUUUUAUGUAUGUAUUGUAUUGAAUAAAAAUCAUCAUUACGCGAUCAUGAGCAACAGAAAGCAGCUAUUGAUAACACAAAAUAUUAAAAUUCGUUUUAGUUCUAUCUGAACCCAGAUAAUCUAUGAUGACCAAUAAUACAUGGUAAUGACUUAAAUGUUUAUGGUUUAAUUCUUAAAAGUUUAUAAUUUUAACAGUUCAGUCUUCCCAAGACAACUUUACUGCCCUGAAGCAGGUUUUGGAAAAUUAGAGAGAAGUGUUACAAAGUUGACAGAAAUAUUCCUUGUGCACUGUAAGAUAAAAGGAAAACCGGAUUCUGCAGAAACUGUUGUGUUGGUCGAUGGCUAUUUGACAAAGCGAGCCUGUUGCUGGUUUUCACGCUUAGAUAUGCAGGUCGGUGAUUAUGUAAUAUAAAGGAGAAAAUGCAAUUAACUUUACUUAUGAUUUAAAAGGACAUCCUUCUUGUCAUUUCAGUUGUUGUGGGAUAUUGUCCAUUUGGAGAACAGGAACAGGCAUUGCAAUAUUUUACUGAACUACCUCGGUUUCAUCACACAUGUGUGACUUUUUGAAAGGUUUAUUUGUUUUUAUAUAUAACCAGUCUUGUUUUGAUCUGAAUUUUACUGCUAAUAUAUUUUUCCCUGGUGAUUCUCAGGGUAAAUGUUGUGUUUCGUCCAGUUUCAACCGUUUCUGUUCCUAUGAACUUCACAAUAUGAACAUAAUCAAGGUGAUAAAGAGUCAUAUUGUUACAUAACAGUUUAAUGAAUAUUUUGGUUCAAGUACUUCAUGAUAUGUUUUCUUGUUUUGUAGAAUUUACCAGGCGUGGAUGCUCUCACUGCAUUUGCAUAUUUCUUUGAUGCUGAGUCCACAAGGAAGUACGUAAGUUCAAGAAGUUUGGCAGAGGAAAGACAAGUAAGUUCACAAAAAGUUUUGUAGUCCUUCAUUUCCUGGACUUGGUUGCUUGUCUCCCCUAAAACCUGCUAGCUUAAAAGAGUAUUUGGCUGCAAUUUCCUGAAAUGCUUUACUUGAGAGUCUCUAUUUUUCUUCCAUUACUUUUAAAUGGUUGAAUAUAGAACUGUAAUAUCCGAAAUUGUGUCUUCUCAAGCAAACAGAUUACUGGCAGUUGAUAGUACUAUGCCAAAACCAGAGUAGAACUCAUGAAUUAGAAAAUUUCAUCAUAGGAUCAGCUUUGCAUAAAUUGAUGAUUUGCUUUACCAUCCUUUCCUUAUGCAACACUAAUUUAAUACUUUGAAUUUGAAUGCACGGGACGCUAAUCUACUUUUGCAGUUCAAAGUGUCCAAAUGUCAUUGUUACAACUUAAAACUGUAAAGACAUAUUGAAGAUUGAAGUACAACACCAAGAAAAUAAGUACUCAAUUAAUUUCUAUUUACAUCUCGUGUAGUAUCUGAAAGAAUAUAUAGCUUGAACCAUUAUGUGAAUUUUUCCCUUAUAUAGCUGCUGUUUGGUGCAGAUAAGCAGCUUACUUCUAGGUAGUAUGCUAGAUGUGGUAGAGGAGGUACAAUUAGCUCGGUUAGAACUUCGUAAUCUCAUUCAGUGUAUCUUCUGCUCUGAGUCAGGUAACUUCUGUCCUUCUCCACUUGAAAGUUUCUUUUCGCAGGCCAAGUUACCCGGACACGGGUAUGGGUAUCGGACACGGGUACAGAUCCAAGAGUCAGAUUCGUAGUUUUAGGAUAAUUAGGAUUCGUGGACAUGGAUCCGGAAUUAGACUCGGGUACGGGGACUUGGCACUUAAGCUCCAUGCAAGUAAAACUUUAUAUAGACUAGUCUAUUGUACAUUCAUAAAAAUAGUGUCUACUGCACAUAAAUCACAUACGCUGAAAAUUGAAGCAUAAAAUCAAUAGAACAACAUAGAAACAAGUCAUUCAUGGAUCUUGAUCUCUUCAAACAAGUUGAAACAAGACCUAAGUUUUCAUUUUGACCUGGGAUGUUACAAGGUGAGGUGUCCGGUUGUAAUAAGAAGGAUCCGACAAAGUGCGAGACUCACUUAUGGCCAAAUGCUUAGUUAAAGUUACUUUGUCCUUUGCUAGACUUUAAUGCUAAAUAUGAGAAUCUUUGUAUUGAGAUGAACUGAUGGUGCCUCAUGCCUGUGUCGCUUGAUGGAGCAUAGGAGCAUGCAUCGGUUGAAAUAUUGUAGUUAUUAAUUGUCCCUCUACUGUGCUAAUAUGGGAGGCUGAAUCUCUCGUGAAUCAAAGCAUAAUAAUCCUUCAUAUUUUUUCUAAUGUUAACCGUGUUUACAUGCAAUUGUAGUUAAUUUCCAUUUUUUGUGCAGUUGAACAGCUUGAUUUGCAGCUUUAUUUCCUUAAUCUUAAAAGUGGUAAAAGAGCAAUCUUUACUUUUGACUUGUCCUGUUUAAAAGGUACAGAGCCUUACUUUUGAAUAUUGAUUGUUUCUACUUUCCGCUAUUAUAAAUUAUUAUUUACCUUAUUCCUAUUAUCUUCCCGGGUGGUAAUAUUGGACCCGACACGAAUUCGACCCAUAAAUACGAAUUCGGGUUGGAGUUUUUCAAGUUCGGGUCGAAUUUGGGUUGACCAAACUACUAGGAUAUAUACGUACUCCCUCCAUCCCAAAUUAGAUGGCCCCGUUGACUUUGGGCACACAAUUUAAGGUUCAUUGACCGCAUAGAUACGUGAUUUAUUUUUAAAAUUUUAUUUUUGCAAAUAAAAAUUAAAAUAUGAAAUUUUUAUUUAUAAAAGAAAAAAUAAAAAAAUAAAUUUCGGAAGUAGACGGUCAAUGCAUCUAAAGUUACGUGCCCAAAGUCAACGGGGACAUCUAAUUUGGGAUGGAGGUAGUAUUUGAGAAGUCAUAAAAGUUGCAGAAAAUGAAAGUCCUGCCUAACGAUGGAAAGUCUCGAAAUUAAAACUGAAUUUUUUAUUGGAAGGAAAGAUAUGCUAGAGAAUGAAAAGAUUGGUAAUGAUGGUAAAUAUCGACUAGGAGGAAGGAACGUACCUCCUAUUUACAUAGAAAUGAUUGAAUUUGCUGUUAUAGGUGAUAGGUAGCUUUGUAUAUAAACUCUCUUUAGUCAUUGUAAUUCUAUAUACAUAUUUGAGUGAUUGCAAGUUGAAUUAGGUUAUCGUGAAGCUUUGUAUUUUGUACAUAGAGAGUUUGUGUAUUGAGUUUGUAAUUGCAAGAGUUGCUGGUGCAACUACUAAGGUUUCUGUACGCAUUUGUAAAGAAAGUUUUAACUUGUUCAUAUAUAUACAUAUAGUUGUUUUUAUCAUUGUGUUUAUUGAUUAUUCGUUGCUUGAAUAUUUGUUUUAAUAAUUGAUAAACGGACAUUGUUUUACGGUACUCAUAUUCAACCCCACCUUGUACAAGUACAUUGUUAGGAAUAUGUUAGGCUUGAUGAUAAGUUAAAACAGUUAGUGUAAUUUUGGUUAAGUAAAUGUAGCGACCAAUUUGUAAAUAUUUAAUAUUCUAAGUAUGUAAACUACUCAAGUGAAGUGAAGAUUAACGACUAAAUCUAAGCUAUCAACGGAUGAGGAAUAAAAUUUCAUCAACGACUAAUACAGAUAAGCUAUCAACUGAUAAUAAGAAGCAAUUAAUGGCCAAGUCAUGAAAGCUAUUAACAGCUAUCACAUUGGUUUAUUAUUUGCUAAAUCAAGCAUUAUCAGUUGACAGCUACAAUAGAGAAAAAAGACAACAGUCAUAUGGGAUGGGAUGAUCAAAUAAAGUUUAAUUUGUUUCGGAAGCUAAGACAAGUAAAGGCUAGCACUAUGUUGAUCAAAUAUAUGUGUUGGAAGAAGAUGAAGAAUCAUCUUUUCGAUAUACAAUUUCAGUAGCAACAUCUUUCUUUCUGAAGAAGAUGAUUAAUGAAUGGAUGAGCUGAUUAUCCUUCUGGAUUUUCUUACAAUGAGUUACCCAUGACUUUGGAAGAACUUUAACUAGCUCGUUUUUAAAAAUUUGCUUUGGCACAUGAAUACAUGAGCUUGGUUGAGCAUCAAAUUGUAGAAAUAGUGCAUUAUUUGUAUCUCAGGGAAGACUGGGGUCAAAUAAAUGGUUUUGAAAUAUUCUAUAGGUCAUUUAAUACAGAAGACUGGCAAUAUAAGUUUUUGAAAUUUGCAGUGCUCCAAUAAUCUGAAGCUAAACUUUGAGAUUCUUUUAGAUAAAAGGGUCACCAAGCCUCAAAUUGAAGUUUGGGAAAAGCGUUACAAAAAUUGUACCAGCUUUUAACGUGGUUUGAACAAUAGCUGCUUAUGCACCAAAAGUGUCAUCCUUGCAAAAACUAGUAGUCAUUUCCUUCAUAGAGGGUUAGAGGCAUUCUAACAGCUCCAAAAUGAAGUUGAGAAAAGUUUUGCAUCCGUCACUGCUUUGGCAACGAAUCUCCCAACAAAAUAGAAAGAAUAUGGACUUGCUCGAGCUUUGAAAUCAAGACUAGAUCUUUAGCUUCUAAAUAAGAAGAAAGAACAUUAUGUUUUUUAGUGAAAGCUCGAUAUGGGUUUAGCAAAGAAAGUUAUGUGAUAGUAAUCUUAUUAUCUUCAUUGUUGUAAUUUAUAGAUUCAAGAAAAUCACAUUUUUUAUUGAGAGGAAGAAAAGAGUUCUUAGAAGAAAAAAAAGGAUGAAGAAGAUAGUUGGUCGGCUUAGGGACAACUUGAUAGAUAUCAAUCUAGCAUAUCAAUAAUACGAUGAUACUUGUAUUAAUAUCUUUAUCAUAAAAGAUAAGAUUCUUUAUUUAAAAUUAUUACUUCCAUUUUACUAUAUAUUUCCACACAUUUUUAUUGGACUAUAUAUUUUCUUCCAUUGGACUAUAUAUUUUAAAAGAUUUUUGACUAACCUGUGUUAUUGGACUAUAUAUUUUCUUACAAAAUAUCUAUAUAUUUUUAAAAGAUUUUUGACAAUCAAGUCGAGACGUAAUUCUUGAUUAUGAGUUCCUGAUAUAUCUAUAAGAGGUGUAAAAUUUUUCAAUUUAGGCAAAGUUUCGGUUUCUUGAAUAGAAAUCCACUCCGAAUCCUUAUGUAGGACUCCAGGUUGAAGUUAUGGAUUAUUUGGUUCAUGGGCGUCUAGAAUCAGGUAUGGAGUUUGUUCAUUCCAAAUUCAUAUCUAGUGUUUGGUUAGAGAAUAUAAAAUCUUAAACCCCCAAGAUAUGGGUUUUGAUACCCAAGUGGGGAGUUAGGUAUUAUGCAUUCAUUUUUAAUUUUUUUGGCCUUUAUUUAAGUAAUGAAAUAUUAAUAUUAUAUACAAAAUUAAAUCAAUGAUGCAAAAAAUAACUUAUUAAUAACUUAAUAACUUAAUAUAAAUUAAUAACUUAUUUUUUACAAAAAUAAUGUAUAUAUAAAUUUCAACACUCAACGAACACAUGAUAUCAUAUAUGAUAUCUCAAAGGAUCAAACUCAUAAAUUCAUACCCAACUUAACCCGAUUACUCCUUCCACCACAUGUAACUCCUCGAAACCAAAUACAGUCUUUAUUUUCAAACCGAAUUUGGGUUACUCAACCCAAUAAAGUCUUUAUUUUCAAACCGAAGUUGGGCUCCCAUCAUGAAUUCUGGGCUUAUAUUUAAUUAAACAUCAAGUAUAAUUAAAUAAUUUAUUUUAGAUCAUAUAAUUAUAAAGUAUGAAAUUAAAUAUGGGGAAAACCCCAAAAGUUCAAAUUUAGGGAUGAAUAAUUUUUUUCUUUUUAAAAGAAAAUUCAUUUUAAAAUUUGAAAUGCGGAGAAGAAUUCUAAAAAUAUAAAAAUUGGGUAUAUUUUGUUUAUAAUCUAGGGAAAUCUACAAAACUACCUACCUUUUCUUUAAUUAUUUACAAAAAUACUACCUUCCAGAAUUAUUUUUAAAAAUACCUUUUCAUAAAAUUGUUUUUUCAAAAAUACUGUUUGCAACUUUUGCAACCUCAUUUGCAACUAGCCAGCCGUGUUGCAACCUCUUUUGCAACUUCAUCUGCAACUGAAUUUCUGAUUUCAAGUUCCAGUUUUCAAAUGUCAUUUUCGACCUCAUUUUCGGAAUCGAUAUAUAUAUAUAUAUAUAUCGAUUCCGAAAAUGAGGUCGAAAAUGACAUUUGAAAACUGGAACUUGAAAUCAGAAUUUGUAAUUGCAUAUAUGGUUGCAUAUGGUUGUAUUCAGUUGCAUAUGGUUGCAUUCAGUUGAUUCUAUUGUAUUCUAAUGGCCCCGCCAGGGGCACACCAUACAUCUGUUGUUACUUACAGUUUUCAGUUGCAUUUAGUUGCAACUGAGGUUGCAAAUGAAGUUGCAAAAGUUGCAACUGCAGUUGCAACCUCAUUUGCAACUUUUGCAACCUCAUUUACAACUAUAUAUAGUUUUCAGUUGCAUUAAGUUGCAACUGAAGUUGCAACUGCAGUAGCAACUGAAGUUGCAAAAGUUGCAACUGCAGUUGCAACUUUUGCAACCUCAUUUGCAACUUACUGUUUUCAGUUGAACUAGUUGCAACUGCAGUUGCAACCGUUGCAACUUUUCAUUUUUAUUUGCAACUUUUGCAACCUCAUUUGCAACUUUUACGGCUGCGCCGCCCAAGGUUGCAAAAGUUGCAAAUCGUAUUUUUGAAAAAAAAAUUUUAUGAAAAGGUAUUUUUAAAAACAAUGAAAAAGAUGGUAGUAUUUUUAAAAAAAUGAUUUUACAGAUGGGUAUUUUUAAAAAGAUCCCUAUAAUUUAAUAUGAUGAAUAUUUAUUGAAUCAUUAUAGAUUAAUUUUCUCUUUUCCCCUGAAUUUAUAAUUUUUUGUUUGUACCGGAAAAAAAUUGUUUCUUAUUUCCCAUGUUCUCAUAUUUAAAAAUAUUUUUCUCUAUAAAAAUAUAUUCUACUAUUCCCCUUUUUUUUUUUUGAUUUUCUAGUAUAUUUCUUAAAAUCAAUCUCUUAUUUCUAUAUUGAAUUUAAAUAUUAUUAGUUUUAUUAUAUAUUUCCUAUAAUCGAAAUUUUAAUUUCGUCCCUAUAUUCGAAUAUUCUCUUAUUCCCAAUUUUACUUUUUCAUUUUUUCCUAAAUUUGAUUUUUCUAUUUCUAUUAUUAUAAAAUGUUUUUCUAAUUUGUAAUAGUUUGAGUAGACAAAAUUCUAAUACAGUAAUCGCCUAUAGUAUUUUCUUGUUAAAUAGCCCUGCAAAUAUACAAUAUACAAUUAAAAGACAGUAGUAGUAAAAGAGAAAAAAGGAGAAAGAAAUGUUUCGACUGUUAGUUACUAGGAGGCCAUUGCGUAGUGAUUCACAUCAUCAUCAAUCUUUCUAGGAGGCCAUUGCGUAGUGAUUCACAUCAUCAUCAAUCUUUCGCCAUGGCGACAUUAAUCUCUUACUGUGUUCGUAGUGUUAAAGAAAGCGCGAAGGUAUUUUAUUGUAUUCAUUUCUAUCAAUUCUUUAUUUCUUCUGCACAUUCUUGACUCUGAAUAAUUUAUUGUAUUCGUUUUUAUCAGUUCUUGAUUUCUUUCUUGACUCUGAAUAAUUUAUUGUAUUCGUUCCUAUCAAUUCUUGAUUUCUUCUGCACAUUCUUGACUCUGAAUAAUUUAUUGUAUUCGUUUCUAUCAAUUCUUGUUUUUUUUCAUAGUGUCUCCGUCAAUCUUGAUUUGUUUUCUGUCUAAUCAUGUUCUGUUUGAUUUAACUGCUAUUGAUUUCAUAAUUACAGUUCUUGAAAACUAGGCACAUAAGCACAACUAUAUCUUCUGCUGCUAGACAUGUCCCUACAAGCCAGGGAUGCAGCUGGGAUUAUCCAGGUAGAAGAAAUAACCCUGUAUAUAAACAAUAAAACCACUGAGACAUUGCUUGUUUUCUGAUACUGUCAUAUACUCUCAGGGGUACUCUUGGCCAGGAAUAUCACUGAUCCAAGCACUCCCAGUGUAGCAGCAGUUCUCAGAGGUUCACAAAAUGUAUGCAGACCACCGAGAAGACCAAUCCCUGAGGAAGGUAAACACUAUACCAUAUAAGUAUGACAACAAUAAAACCUCCAACAUUCUUAAUUAAUUAUUAUUAUUGCGCUCUUAGAAACGAUUUACACUUGUAGAUAGACGACUAAUUCUAAGAAUCCAGAUCUUACCUGGGUACUUAAAUUUCAAUAUCCACUGCCUGGCCACGGCAAGGUACAACGAUCUAUCCAAGUACCUAACAGAUGAACAAAAAAGGAGGGACUCUGAAAAAAGAAGAAGUGAAUCUAAGCUAGAAAGCAUCUACGUCAGCGAACCUCAGCAGAAUGUCAAAGAAGUCGUCAUGGUAAUCACUUUUCACUUUAGGAAUUUAAAAUGUGAAACAUAGGCUUUUAAUUGAUUGUUUUUAUAUCUAUGAUUUAGGAGAUCAAAAACCUACCCUUCCGGAAGAGGGUAGGUUUUUUUACUUUGGGCGGAAAAAAUUCUCGCUUACAGUGGUGAAUUUUUUUGAAUAAUAAUUGACUAAUUUCGGUCAGAUUUAUGAAUUUGACUGUCAGCGGUCAAAUUUAUCCUUCCCAGACCUAAUAGCUUUCAUUACAUGUUAAAAUUUAAUUUACUUAAAAUUAAAUUUUAUGUUAAAUUUAAAAUAUAAAUAGAAUUAUAUUUAUCUUAGUCGUUCGAUUUUUUUUAAAAUUUAACUUGCAUGACUUUGUAAGAAAUAUUUAAUAAGAAGUACUACUCCUUAAAAUGAGAUUCAUUCCUAAUUAAUAAAAUAUUUUUUUUAAAUAAUUUUAUCAACAAUCCAACCAUACGGAUGCAAAGAUAUAUUGAUUUUAUUCACGUGAAAAAAUUCUUUAAAGAUUUGAAAUUUGACUUGCAUGACUUUAUAAGAAAAAUCCAGUAAGAAGUAAUACCUCUUAAAAUGAGAUUUAUUCUUAAUUAACAAAAUAAAUUUUUUAAAUAAUUUUUUCAACGAUCCAACCAUACAGAUGUUAAGAUAUAUUUAUUUUUGUCAUGUAAAAAAAUAAUUUAAAAAAUUGAAAUUUACCCUGCAUGACUUUAUAAGAAAAAUCUUGUAAGCAGUACUACUCCUUUAAAUAAGAUUCAUUCCUGAUUAACAAAAUAAAUUAUUAAAAUGAUUUUUACAAAGAUCCAACCGUAUGGAUGUUAAGAUAUAUUAAUUUUAGUCAUGUAAAAAAAUAAUUAAAAGAUUUGAAAUUUGACUUGCAUGACUAUAUAAGAAAAAUCCAGUAAGAAACGUACUACUCCUUAAAAUCUUUAGAUUCUGCUAAUUGUACAUUUUUGUUUGGUCUAUUGAGGAACAUUUGCGUUUCGUCAAGUUUUCAGUGGAGGACAGAUAUUGGAAUUAGUGUUAAGUUUUUAUCUUUCUAUCUAUAUUUGUGUUGCAGACUCACAACUGAAGCACUUGUUAGGGUUAGUAAAGAAUCUAACAGGACAUGGUUCUAAAUACAGUUUAUCAGAAUCCCAGUUAAGUGGCUGAAUUGUGACAGUGAUACUACAACUCCCAUGAUUCUUUUUUGACUACGCUGAUUGUUGAAAGCACUAAAAUGAUAUUAAAAAAGCAUCUAACAGAAGUAGUGGAAAGUUUAAAGUGUAAUCGCUAGAUAUGCUACAAUUAAGCUUUUUGCAUAAGUUAAACAUGGAAAAUUUUUGGUCAAGGCAGCUCAGUGUGAAAGGUUUUCAUCUAUGCAUAUAGCUUAUGUUGAUGUCUGCAGAUAUUUUGUUGACAUAGUUGUUAUGAUGACAUAUAAUAUUUCUCAUGGAUAGGUUGUUGUCUAAGUUGAAUGUGGAGAAGAAAGUGAAGUCAAAGUUGGUGGUAGAAAGAAUCUAAUUAGUGUUCGAGUGAGAAUUUUGUCUACAUUGUGGGGUUACCUCUUACUUUGGUAGACGAAGACAUGUGUAAAUAUCCGUUUUUCCUUACUUUUUUCUGCACGGUUUUUUAUCACCUGUAUACAGUGUUCUAAAAAUCGUCGAGUCUGUCGAGUACUCAUUCCGAGUACUUGUUUUUUACCCCUCAUCCGAUCCGAGUUCCGAGUCGGUUCAAAACCGAUUUAUUAAAAAAUCGGUCAAAACUCGGUUUGACUCCGAGUACUCGAGGUCAAAUCCGAGUUUGACUUAUCAAUUUUUUUUAUUGUUUUAUUUGAAAAUUAUUUCAAAAGAGACUAAUCGUAAAUUUAUAUAUGUUUUGUUCUUUUUUUUUUUUUUUGCAAAGUAUUGACAUUAAUUAGACAAUAUAUGUGUUUUAUCAUUAGAACUUGCGAAUGAUUAUUAUGUCAAAAACUAUCAAACAAGUAACUUUUAUUUGAACUUCAUUAUUCCAGGUGUGUUAUUAAAAUAUUAAUAUUAUUAAAUAGUUUUAUUAUUAAUCAGCAUAUAACUAUAUAUGAGAGAAAAAAUUAAUUAAAAAAAUACCCGAUUAAUUAUCCGAUAACUCAUUCUGAAUACUCCCCCGAGUUCCGAGUCCUCAUUUUUCCGGAACCAAACCGAGUUGGACCGAGUUCCGAUUUUUACAAUUUUGCCUGUAUAUAUAUCAUUUUAUGCAGCUCCUACAAGGAGCGGAAUACUUUGCUCAAUAUGGGAAGGUGCUUAAAGUGUCAGUCUCUUGUACCGCAAUUGGUACCAUUCAACGAUUUUCAAAUAGCACUUGUAGUGUGCAAGUGUUUGUUAUGCUCAUUGAAAUGACUUUUAAGAUUGCAAGUAUAAUUAGGCCAACAUAUAACAAUAAUUUUUGAGUAAAAUGUAUUAUGUGUACCUGCACUUUGUGCGUGACACCACUUGCAAUAUUAAUUUUUAAUAAGUAUUAGUUGCAAUAUUCAAGUUUCAAUUUUUUUUUACAAAGCGUGGCUCUCCGUCAAUUUUAACUAACGGUGUUAAUUUCUUGAAAGACUUUCAUGUCUUUUUCAGAUAUUUAUGUUUAUCCCAAAUUCAAAACCCAGUUUAAGACUUAAGAAACCUACUUUCUAAAUCAAACUAGAGCCUGAUUAUCCGAUGCACAUAAAUCAACAUAACAUAAGCUUUUUUUUUUUUUAGGCCUGAUUAAUGCGUUGACUCUCUUUGUCUGAAUGUCGUUCGUGAUUAGUAGGUAGCGACCCAAUAUGAGGAUGUAAAGGAUAUGGAAUCAAAGAUGAACCACUUACAUGAAUGUGAAAUCUCAUGCAUUUCUUUUGGAUCGAAUAACCGAGAAGAAGUUAUAUACAAGAACAAAGGUGUCUAUGAUUUCAGCCCCCAAGGCCGUGCCUUUGGAGUAACCAUCUGCAAUAGAGUCGGUUCCACCCCAUUCCUAUUAUAAUUGCUUCAUGAAAGCAUUAGCUAACCCCAUUAUACAAAUUGCUCCCAAACACUGUGCCACCAUGUAGCCCAAAGCUCGCAUCAGUGUUACUUUUCUUGCCAAAAACAACCCAAAAGUCACUGCUGGAUUAAUAUGACACCCUACAAAUUUAGUUGCAGGAUUUUUGCAUUUGCAAGACCGACUGCUUGAUGAAAUUAGAGCAGGUCAGGAUGGGAGGUGGUUGUGAAUUUGUUUGCCUGAUUCUGGAGUCAUUGCAUUUAUUUAGGGAUUUAGAGGUAGAUAAAAAUAAGUUUGGGUUUAGAGGUUGUAAGAAGUUUGCACACCAUGUGUUUGAUGAUACGGUGUAAAGAGAUAACGGUGAUUUAAGUUAAUUUAAGUCAAUAUAACUAUUGAAAUGGAGAAUUGACGGCAAUGUCCUUAUAUAAAUAUUAACUGUGUUAGUAAAAAUUGCCGGAGAGACACAUUUUGUAAAAAAAAUCAAAAUUUCAGUAUUGCAAAUGAUACCUAUUAAAAGUUGAUAUUGCAAGUGAUGUCACGCACAAAGUGCGAGUACACAUAAUGCACUAAACUCAUAAUUUUUUUAUAAUUGUGUGUCUAAUAGAUCCCUUGAAUAUAAAAUCGUCGUAAAAAUUUGAAGCCAAACAGCAAGCUUUUAGGUAUAAAUUUGGACAAUGACGAUCUUGGAUAUGUGUAUUUAGAUUCUUAUACAUGUCUGAAGUUAAAGUUAUUAGAAGUAAACAUUUAAUUAUUUAUUAUAUACUCCAUUCAUCUCGGAAUGAUAGUUUUGUUUUAAUUUGACUUAUUAAAAUUUACUAAAUUUUGAGCAAUAAUUACACAUAUUCUAUAAUUAAAAAAGUUAUAAAUUAUAUAGUUAGAAAAUAUAUUUAAUCUUUUUUAAAAUAGAUUUUCAAUUUUUAAAAAUUAUAAAUUUAUUUUUUAUUAUAAUACAAAAUUGGAUAAUUUAAUUAUUGAAAACAAUGAAAAGUAAAAAGGGUAGUACCGUAUCUAGAAACCUGACGCAAGUACAACUUAUAAACUUAUAAAGUACAUAGGAAUCAAAAAGCAGUGGAUCUAUCGGUAUUAUAAGGUACCAAGCGAUGUACUGAAUUUAGCAAUUAGGGGUUUGGAUACACAGUAAACAUGAGGAUGCUCAAGAGAGUUGGAAGAUUAGUGAUGCGAGAGCGAGAGCAUAUAAAUUAUAUACUACACAGGUGUAUAUCAUCACCAGCAAUAUAUGAUGUCGCCAACAGAUCUAUCCCUCUGCUGCAGGACACCCAACUUGACGGUUUUACAGGUUACCAAAUUUCUGUUAACUCUUCAAUUAUAUUGUAUGUAUAUGCAUCGUAUUCGGUUAUCAGGGCUUUUCCUUCCAACUGCAUAAUAUGAUCCACUUUGAUUCUUGAAAUUUGAUUCCUUCCAACUCUAGUAUUUUGGGCAUUACUUGUGAAAAUUGUGGUAUAUGGGGCCUUUUCCUUUAUUUCCCGGCGUUAAUCUAAUCUAGUAUAAUAUUGCGUGAAUGCUUAAGUAAUAACACGAAUGUAUUAUUUGUUGUAAUUGAACUAGGCACAACAAAUUUGGUUCUUUAGAGCAAGUCCAAGAAGAAUCCUUAUCCACAAGCUCUAUUAUUAAAAUACUAAUAUAUUAGAAUUGCAAGAGCAAAUGAAGUGUGGAAAGAGAGGGUAUUAUAUUCAAUUUUUAAAACUAAAAUGAGGCUUGUGUAAUUAAGGCAGAUGAAAGAUGUCCUAGCAAUUUAAGGCAUUUUUAGGACACCGGUGGAGCUUUUAUUUUUGUCAAUAACCCUAAAUUUUGAUUUAGGACACCAAAUAAGACAUUUGUUGGACUUGCUCUUAUGUUACAAUAAUCUAUAUGAUAACUACUUCACUAUUAUACAAUAGCUUUAUGACCAUGUUUGUUUGAAAUGAUUAUAAUCCUAGGAUAACUACAUUGUUUUCUUUAAAUUUAAAGGAUUAUCAUCUCAUGGGAUUUUAUUUCCAUCACUUUUUUUUUAAUUCAAUUCCAAUCCCAUGGAAACGAACUAAACCAAUUGAUUAGGAUAUGAAUUCAUGAGAUUAUUAUCCUUGACAAUUGAGAUAAACAAGGUAAUAAUUGGGGGAUUAUAAUCCCUCCAAACAAACAUGACUUAUCUAUGUCGAGUACAAUGAAUAGUUUUUUAACUUAAUUAAUGAUUAACAUACGACAUAUUUGUUUUACUGAAACUAUAUAGAAUAAAUUUUUUACUUAUAUAUAUAAUGGGAUUGCUAGACCUGAGGUAUGAAGGUUACAAGGUUAAACAAAUGCUAAUAUAAACUAGGGGUAAUUGUCAAGGUAUCGCCGUGGUGAAAAAUGUAGAAUUAUAGAUGUAUUAAUAUAUGUGGGGUAGCACUUUAUAGCAUACCCUCUUAUACAGAGUUUUGUGGUAUACCACUAUAAGUAUAUUCAUACUACAUAUAUUUAUUAUAUUUUUCAUUGAAUAUGAAUACAAAUUUUAAUCAUUGAAUUUAAAAAAAAUACAAUUUUUUAUUCCAAAAAUCAUUGAAAAUUGUGCAAAAUUCCAACAUGAUCUUACAACAGAAUAAUAGUUAUCCAGAAUUAUUCUGCUAUAGAACUGGUUUUGAAAAUCAACUUUUUUGUUCAAACUUUAGGUGUUAAAUUAUUUAUAAUAUAUAUGCUGUAAUAUUCUAUAUUAGAAUCACAUUUUAACUGUAUUGUGUAAUAAAAUUUAUAAUAAUAUUAAUGGUUUAUAAUGGUGUACUACGUAAGUACAUAUAAGAAGGACCUUAAUGGAAUGUUGGCCAAUAUAUGUGUAUUAAUUUGCAGAAGUAUUGUUUUAUAUCUCUUGUAUAAAACUAACUUAUAUUCCGUGGGAUGCACGAGUGACUUGUAAUAUGAUUUUUUUAAUUGUGCAUGUUCUAAUAUUAAUUUGUUUGUGAAAAUACAUUUAUUUUACAUGCUAAAUAAGUUUUUAAUAAUUAAGCCCGUGAAAAAAAAUUACAAAUAAAAAGACCCAAGAAAUAUAUUUUACCGAGAUGGAGAUAUGUCUUAGCUGUGAAGCAGGGAUACGACAAACUACUGAAAAAUCACAGGGGGGUGCGCGCACCUUGCGGGGGUGCGCAGCGGUGCGGCAGGGGGUGCGGCAGGUGGCGUCAAAACAUGUUAUAAAAUUAAAAGACCAAUAAACUGAUCCAAAUACUGACCAACCAAAACAUAUGGUGUCGUCUUAAAUAGUAUAUAGAUUCUAAUUAAAAGACUCUGAAAUGGUUCACUGAAAAGUUAAAAACAAAUUAAAAUAUAUUUCCGGAUGAUUACAAUUUAUUUCUUGUAAUAUCAUUUUAUGUAUGUCAAAACUCAUCAAAUUUUUGAACUUGAUCUGACAGAGGACCAUAGAAGUACAUACUACAAAUUGGAGAAAAAAACAAAAAAAGAAUCUGAUUUUGAUAUAGCGGUAAGGAAUUUUACCAAUCUCUCAAUAGAGAUGAAGAAACAGAAUAUUAAUCAGAAAGAGCUUACAAGUGUCAGUAGCGGAGAUAUUGUUAAUCUACAUGAGCUUUUGUUUACCAAAAACAGGGACUAUCUAAUCAAAUUCAAUGGGGACCAGGUACGUGUGCAUGAUUUUAUAUUCACACAUACAUACAUAUAUAUAUAUAGGCCAACAUUCCAUGGAGGGACUCCUUAUAUGAAGUUACAUAGUACACCAUUGUAAAUCAUCUAUUUUAUUAUAAAUUCUAUCAUAGAAUACAUAUAAAACGUGAUUCUAAUAUAGAAUACUAUGACAUAUAAAUGUUUUAAGUAAUUUAACACUUAAAAUUUGAUGAAAAAAGUAUAUUUUCAAAACUGAUUCUACAACAGAAUAAUUCUGGAUGAUGAUUAUUCUGUUAUAGAAUCAUGUUGAGAUAUUGCAUAAUUUUAGAUGAUUUCUGGAAUAAAAAAAUUGUAUAACUUCGUUUUUUGUUUAAUAAUCAAAUUUUGUAAUUAUAUUCCAUAAAAAAUAUAAUAAAAUAUAUAUUAUGUAUAUAUUUAUAAUGGUGUGCUAUGUAACUCCAUAUAAGAGGGUAUGCUAUGGAGUGCUCAAAUACAAACCACUAAAAUAAAAACUAAAUACAAACCAAGAGAAACUAUCCCUAAAUGACAUCACCCACCCCCUAUAUGUCAUCACCCACCUAGGGCACACCCUCGCCCUCACUCAAUCCACUCGGGGCCGGCUAGGGCCUUGCCAUGACUCCUCACAGGCCCUGGACUAGCUCCAGACAGCAUUAAGAGCCAAAACUUGGCCCCACCAUGGUCCCACUAGGCCCCGCCCCGACCCUACUAGACCCCGUCUAGGCCCAUCUCGGGGUCCAUCCCUGGUUCCAAGUUCAAUUUUGACCAAUUUAGUUAUGUGAGAGGUUUUGUGAUAUUCCUUCAUUGCUUAGUUUGAGGGGCAAAUCAAUUCUUGUGCAAGGAGAGGGAUGCGGUCAUUCCGUGGACUUAUUCAAAUAUCAAAUUGUUAGUUAGUUUUAUCAUUUAUGCAAUAAGCACUGUACCAAAUAAAAACAAUUAUAAGCUACUUGCACAAACAAGCCGAAAUCUAAUAUCUCGUCUUUUAUUUUGCAUGGCGAUAAUAUGAAAUCUAGAACAGUUUGGAUGACAACUCAAGCGCCAUUGUGAAAUAUCCACAAAGCCUAUUGAUAAAUUAUAUUUUUUUUAUAUAUAUAUAUAUCCUACAUCACUUUAGCUCCAAAAUAUACUUCUUUAAAAUGCAUGACUUGUGUUGUGUCUGACUGGCUUUUGAAAUUGUACCUGGAAGCUAGAAUGAGAUCCACCUAUGUAACAGCUAUAAACAUGUGUUUUCAGCUUAUCAACUUAUAACAAGUAUAUACUCUGUAGGUGAAGGCUGAGCAGUUUGCUGACAAGGUUAUCGUUAUAUAUUUUGUGUUACUGCCACUUGUUGAUAAUAAUUCUGCUGAGCGGGUGGGGCUGAUCACAGAAAGAUUAAAGGAUGUAUACAACUUUCUACCACCUAACAAAGGUUUCGAGAUCGUUUUUGUGGCUGUUGAUGAUGAUGACACUAGCUUUGAAGAAGAAAUGUUAUUUGAUCCUUUACCUAAAACAGACCUUGAGAAUGAUUUUGAAGAGGUAUUUUCUUGCAUGCCCUGGACUGCCAUUCCAUUGUCUGAUAGAACAUCCAGGGAACGUCUGCAGAAAAGAUUUGGUUUUAGGGAUAAGAACGGUAGCCUGUUUGUAAUUGAUUCAACAGGGGUCGUUUUGCAGACAAUUGUCAUUUCUGAUUUUAAACGAUAUGGAAGUCUAGGAUAUCCUUUCAGCAAUGAGAGGCUCAAAUCCCUGGAAUCUGAAUGCAAAGCAAUCGCUGCAGAACCCACAGUAGAAAAACUUCUGUCUUCCCCUGAACGAGACUAUGUCAUUUCGAAUAACGGGGACAAGGUAUACCAUGCACACUUUAUAACAAUUGGUGAUAAGGGCAUAUCCACGAGUACCUUGUUGUAGUCAAUUAAUUUCUUUUUCAUUUGUACAUCCAGUUGAGUUUGGAUAAUAAUAUUUUCCUUUACACUUCCUACUGUUACAUUUAUUGUUAGGUACCUAUUCAUACACUUGAAGAUAAGGUGGUAGCUCUAUACUUCCACGCAGGCAACGUAACUGAAACUGAUAUGCUUACAGAAGAACUUAGGAAUGUAUAUGAAGAGUUGGCUGAAAAAGAAGUUAAAUUUGAGGUUGUGCUUCUUUACCUUUGUGACACACCCAUUACUAUUGGAUUUAGAAAUGAAGAUUCAUUCUGGAGAACUUUUGGAACUAUGCCUUGGUUAGCUCUCCCCUAUAAAGACCCUAUCCUGAAGAAGUUGAAAAUAAUUUACAAGUUUCCUGAGGAUUAUAUUUAUGGUGAUGAUGAGGAGAUCUCCAAGCUUGUAAUUGUCGGACCUCAUGGAGAAUUUUGUGAACCAUGUGGAGCCGACAUUUUGUUGAACUAUAGAGUUCCAGGAUACCCCUUCACGCGUGAAAAAGCUCUUGAGUUAGAGACCGAAAGAAUAAAGAAAUUGAAGUUAGAGAUGAUUUUGGAGACGAAC